rnacentral:lncRNA from 1 species
GGAAAGGGGUUAAAAGGAGGAUGUGUUGUGUACAUGCACCGACUCCACACAAGGAAAGUAAGCAUUAUGCACUGCAAACAUGUACUAAUAAAAACUCUAGCGGUUAAGUUCAUUACGCUUUUUUUUUAAGUUCUUUUAUUCGUACAUUUUAGGGAUACAAUUCAUUUACAUUUAUCAUUGGGUGUUUGUACCUGUACAUGAUGUGUCUUGGUUCUUAUUUUUUCCCCAUUACCUGUGCACCUCACCCCCUCCGCCCUUCCGUAUUUACAUAGGUUUCAUUUCCAUUUUUUAAUCUUUUCUCAUAGUUUUUCCUUUCCCUCUUUUCCUUUCCCCUUCCCCUCCCUUCACCCCUUCAUCUUUGGACCUUUUUUCCGAUUUCAAAUUAUCAAUUAUUCAUUUUAAUCAUUUUAACCUUUGUUUACACUUUCAGUUUCUCACACUAGUGAAACUAUUCGGUAUUUGCACAUGUGUGUCCCAUUUAUUUCACUUAAGAGUAUGGCCUUGAUAUGCAUCCAUUUAGCUAUAAAUGAUCAUACCACAGAGAUAUAUGUGCACCCAUGUUCAUAGCGGCACAGUUUGUAAUAGCUAAAGCUUGGAAACAUCCCAAGCACCCAUCAACUGGAAACUGGAUAAAGAAAAUGUGAUUUUUUUUUUAUAAGAUGGAGUACUACUCAGCCAUAAAGAACGAAAAACUAAGUUCAUUAAUCUUAAGGAUAUUUUCAGCUCAUACAGAGACUGCAAGAAUGUAAGAGAAAUAAUUGGGAAUAUUUUAAAUUACUAACUUGCUAAGCAUUUUUCAAGGGUUAAAAGGUUUAGAGGAUAAAUGCUUAUGACUAUGUGAUGCAUACAGCACAUGUAAAAUUACAUACCUUAUUUUCAUGUUUUAUUGAAUGUAUUCCUUUUACUGGAAUUUAAGCUUCUUGAAGAUGGCCAACUUGAUUUGUCAGUAAUAUUAUUCUGUGUGCCUAGAUUAGAAUGGUUUUGCUACUCAUAGCAGGUGUUCAGCAAAUGUUUGUUGAAUAAAUGAAUGGUAGGCAUUCCACCAAUAUUGUGUUCACUAUUUGCUUAUUAGUGAACCACAAAGGCAGUAAUGUGAUAAAAUUUUUAUUCAUUUAUUUAACAUAUUAAAGGAGUGUCUAACACAUAGUAGGCACUCAGUAAGUAUUUGAUGAUUGGAGAAAUGAAUUAGUAUUCCAGUAUGCUCAAGGAUGAAUUUUUAAAUAACUACGAAUCUGCCAGAGCUUGGCUAACGAAGCACCAUAAACUGGGUAGUUUAAGCAACAGAAUUUUUCUCUCACAGUUCUAGAGGAUGGAUAUCCAAAAUCAGGGUGUCAGCAGGAUUGGUUGCUUGUGAAACCUGUGAGAGAGAAUCUUUCUCAUGCCCCUCACCCAGCCUGUGGUGAUUUGCUGACAAUCUUUAGUGUUCAUGGACUUAUAGAAGCAUCACUCCAAUCUCUGCCUUCAUCUUCACAUGACAUUCUCCCUGUUGGUAGCAAUAAAUUGUAGAGCUCACUCUACUGCAAUGCAACCUCAUCAAAAUUAGUCACAUCCACAAUGACCCUAUUCCCACAUAUAGUUAUGUUCUGCAGUACUUGGGGCUAGAACUUUAACCUAUGAAUUUGGGGGGCACAUAUUCAGCCAUAAUACUAAAAUAACGCAGAGCUUCAGGUAGUAACAUUUUGAUGGAUGACAUCUAUUUGAAAAACUUCAGCUUCUCAAAAUAACAUCUAGUUUUAUGAUUCUAUAUGGAAAUUGAUAUAGUGGUAUUAAAUAGCUUUUACUAUGUUAUGCAAAAAUGUGUGUCUGUAGAGAAACACAAAGAAGUCCAAGGAGCCUAACUGGAUAGCACAUUUUCUUCGAUGCUAAGUGGCCUAAUGUGACCAGUGGGUUAUGUGGAAAAGGCUGCUGAGAGGUUUCCAAAAACAUUUGUAUGUGAAGCAAAGGGGUUUGGGAUUUGGCUUUAUUUUAAAAACAUGAGAGGACCAACAUAGAAGUCAAUUGAAUGGUAGAACAGUGUACAAAUGGUAAACUUUAUUGAAUAUAAAUUUUACCUCAGUGAACCCUACUUUGAAAAGGAUUAAAGAAAACAACGUGGUAGAAGAAUGCACAUGGGGACAAGCAACUCAGAAGGUUUUGGUACCAUUUUACCACCAAAGCUACUGCCCUGAGUCCCCUCAGGCUUCAGAGACACUUGCCUUCAAAAUAAAAUGUAUAAAAAAAUAAAACAAACAAAAUCUGUAAAGUUAUUGUAUUAAAGAAAAAUCAUACUUAUAAAAAAAAAAUGAAAUUGCUAAUGCCAGCCCCUUUAGCAGCUGUGGAAGCUGAUCAAAACUGGGCUGAUCAUCUGCAAGCCUGUGACUGUCCAUUUCCAGGCUUGAUGCCAGAAAAACUCCUGGGCCCAUUCUAAGGACAGGUACAAGAGCACGGGUAAGCUAAAGGGUAAGACUGAUUCCCAAAUGGUGGCAGGAAAGGAAUCCUAGAUGAAGAGGACAUACACUCCAUGGGCUUCUGGGAAGAUAGCUAGUUUCAAGGAAGAUAGGCCACAUGUGUAGGUGAAGGAGAAUAUGUCCUAAAGUGAGCAGAUUCUCAGGGAACACAUCUACAAGCUGAAGGCAGACCAGGUCCACAAGGCCAUGCCAGCAUGUCAGCAAUGGGGAGCACCUCCUGGCCAAAAAGGAAAUGAUCAUUAAUACUGUCAAAGAAGUCAAAGACCAAGAAAUAAAGCACUCCCUCUUCUUUUGGUACAUUGCCUUGGUGGUUACACCAGUCAUUGGAAUAAAACAAGCCUUUCUCUUCUGGCUGAAAAAGAAAGAAGCAGAACAAGAAGAAGAGGGGAUUUUCUUGUGUGUGAAGUUGACAAAAAAUAGUUUAAUUAGAAACACAGAGAAACCAGAUUUCAAUAGGUUGAGGAAUAAAUGAGAGUUUAGGAAGCUUAAAGUUACCACAAAGUAGGAAAAGAUCUGAUGCAUAGCAGAAGGUUUCUUGUUUGUUGCUUAGUAUGAGGACUGCUAUCUUUGUUUGUUACUUAGUAUGAGGACAGCUAAAGCAUGUUGGCGGGCAGUGGGAAAAUUGAAAAUAUGAAAAGAAGGAAGGAAUAACUGAUGCAAUAAGAUUGACUGUGGAGAAGGUCAUCAGUGCUGGAGAGAAGGAUCUCUGAACUGUUAUAAAUGGGUUCAGUGUCGGAGGUCACGUUAUUAGCCAGAGGUGAAAAGUAGGGGAACAGUUAUAAGGAAUGAAAUAGUGAAUGAAACUGGAAAAAAGAAAUUGACUAAGAACAAAAUAAAGAGUUAGAAAGUAGUUCUGAUACUGUAGAUCAACCUGAAAACCAUAAUUCUGAGAAGCACCAGACUGUACAGUUUUGAUUUUUCCCCAGCAUUGCUUAACAGUCUAGGAGCUGAGGAAGGAACGUAUUAUCAGAUUCAUUUGGGCUCAAGAACUAGGUAAUUGCAGUUGAGAACCAUAGAUAAGGAAAAUGAUGGAACAGAUGAUGUCAUUAAAGUUAAAAACUCUGAGGGAAGAAGAAAUUAAAGAUUAAUAGUCUGGGAGAAAAAGGGAAAUAAUGAAAACUAAAAAAGUCAUAGUAAAAAAGGUAGAGUACUUGUUUUGGGGGCAAAAUGUCUGAAUAAGGAAGCUGCCCCUACCACACAUAUGUUUUGCCACAAAUCUCAGAAAACCACAGAAAGUGGGCUGAACUCUUUGGAGAACAUAGACUUGACUCAAAAAACAGCCUGAUGGUCAGGAUUUCCUUCCUAUUUGCCAUUAAUUUAAAAGGAACAGUGUUACUCCACUUUAUGUUAUUGUAACAAAUACCUGAGAUUAGAAGCUUUAAAGAGGAAAGGUUUAUUUUGACUCACAGUUUGGAAGUCUCAGUCCAUGACCAAUUGUCCUCAUUGCUGUGUGCCUGUGGAGGCACAAUCUAUGGAGAGUGUGAAGAGAGAGUGUGUGGAAGAGAAAGCCCAUUCACCUCAUCACUGGGAACAAGAGACACAAAGACGAGGAUCCAGGGUCCUAAUAUCUUCUUCAAAAGAAUGUUCCCAAUGUCCUAACUUCCUUCCACUAAGCCCCACAUUCUAAAGGUUCCACCAUUUCCCAGUAGCACCAGGGGCUGGGAACCAAGCUUUUAACACUUGGGCCUUUGUGACACAUUCAAGACACAAAUUGUAGCAGUAACCAUCAUUAACAUCAUUAUCACAGAAUCCUAAUCCUUAGGGAAAGAAUGUCACCUGUGUAUGUAAGAGGAGAAGAAAUAGGAGCCUUCCAUGGGAGAGUAGCAAUCAGCUUGACAAGAGACAAAUGUUUUUUCUUUUUACUUCAGAUUCCAAAAGUGUAGUUAUGUUGUCCUAAAGGUGUGUUCUUUCAUUUCUCUUAUUUUAAGGUUGUUAAUUUAUUGUUCUGUAGUCUCCAGAGCUGCCACCUUCUCUUAGUCUUCACCCUUCUUUUCUUAUUUCUCCUUUGUCCUGUCAGCCUAUUUUUAGGCAUUGAAAAUUGUCAUGUGUCUCAGCAACCUUCCUGUACUCAGUGUCCAUAUAAAAUAUUCCCAUAACCUUAGUAUUAAAUUUUGCCCCUAAAAGACUGGGCUAAGAAGUUGGAGGUUUGUUAGAGAAUACUUUCAGGUUCUUUGCAGAGGACCCUGUAUAGCUAAUCUGUCAUGCCCUAUGAAUUCUGAUGAACCUAGGUGUCUCUCUAUAGUAUUCAUAAGAAGAAUUCUGCUCCUAUGGGCCCUGUCUCCAUAUGUCAGCCUUACAAAGUAACCAACCAUGUUAUUCACUGUAAGAUACCAUGCUCUAGUUAUCCUUUACUUGCUUGAGUAGACUAAGAUGAACAUAAUAUACAGAGUUUAAUAGUUUCCUAAACUCUGAAAAUUCCUAAGCUUCUUCUCUUGGUGCUUUCUAUAUAUAAGUUCAAAAAACAGCUUUGGGAGAAUUUCAAUAAGCAAUUCUAAAGAAAUCUUUAUUUUUUUCCAAAUAAAUUCUUGUAGAAUUCCGUUUUUCCCCUGUUUUUUUCCAACUUCUGAUCCUAUUAUAGCUCUUUCCAGCAAUGCUAAAACCCAGCCGGUCUGGAGAUUAAUAUGACCAGACAUACCAUGAAUUUUUUAAAUCUCACAAGUCCCAGUUUCUCCUUCAUCAAUCAAAUAUAGGUUGUGUGUGUUGCAGUAUAUUAUCAUAAGUCUUCCCUAAAUUCUUUUUUUCUUCCUUUUUUUGUCUCACUGUCCUCUAAAUUAUUCCUAAAUGCUUCCUAUUAUAAAAAGGUAGAAGAACCUGAAGAACAGAGAAAGAAAAUGAUUUGAUGGAAGUUGGAAAGAGAAAGCAUACUAGGAAAAAGAGGAAACCAAUGAGGAUAUGGAAAAAGUAGUGAUUUCCUUUUCUCCUACUCCCUCCAGACCCCUUUUAGGUUUUGUUUUGAUACUUUUAUUUAACCUAAUGCCCUCAAAUGACCUAGUCCUAGAAGUUUGUUCCUAGCAACCUGUACAGCACGUCUUCUAUUUUCCCAGCAGACUGAACUCUCCUCUCCGGAGAGUUCUCCCAAGCCCCUUAUUCAUAGACUCGAAGAUUUGAACCAAUUGCCAUUAAUUCCAUGUACACUUUAUACCAUGCUGGCAUGGAGAGUGUUAAUAGCUGAUGUAAUUCUGAAAGAACUUAAGCAACAAUUUGGUUUUACUUUAUUAUCAUUCAAAAUAUAAACAGGUAAACUACAUGUUGAAUUCAUUAAAUUCUUCCUGCACUGUUUAGAAAUAUGAAAACUGCAUUUUUUAAAAGGGGACUGAUUGGUGUCAUGUACGUAUUUGUUCAUUUCUGUUUAUGCAAGAUAAUAAGAGUAUUAACAUGGAAGAGGAAUAAUGGUAUUUAUAAUUUCAUCACUACUGUUUAUAUAAGAUGAAAAUGUCUGAAAAGAAAUGGGGAGAGAGUACUUGCUGCUCUCUAUAUACAUUAAAUUACUCUAUUUUUAUUGAUAAGGCAUGUGAGAAGAAAAACAAGUUUAACAACCUAAAGAAAAGUUAAUAUUCUUUAAUUCAUAUUCACUAACAUUAACCUAGGGUGGCUAGGUUCAGAAAAUGAAGCACUAAAAUGUAAUGGAGGGGCUACCUCCUUAUAAAGGAAAAUGAGCGCCAGAGACAUGUGCUUUACUAAAUCCUCUCUGAGACUGAAACUGCUUGAGUAAGAUUAUGGUCCUCUAUUGAAUGCUGAAGUUUCUAUCCUAGGGAAUGGUAAGUGACAUCAGGAAGACCAGUGACUUAUAAUUUGCCUGUAUCUUGAGAUAUGCUUCCUAGGGCCUGAAGCCCCAUUAAAGAUUCCAAAAAAAAAAAAAAAAAAGAUACUUUAGGUCAGAUUUUAAGAAUCCAUUUCAAAAAUUAAAUAGUUCUAGGUAGACUUUUAUAAUAUUUCUAUGGUAGUUUCAAAAAGAAAGAUCUGGGACUAGAGAAGAGGUUUCUUAGGAUGUACAUUUAGGAUGUCAAAUUAGCUGAAUUGUUAAUAUAAUCCAUAAAAGGUCAAGUCAUUCAUGAGGGUUUAAUGAUUAUCACAGGGCAACUGAGGGAAAAAAGCAAAUGAAGAUAAACAGGAGUUGUUUUGUGCUGGUUAUUAUAUUUAUGAUAUUUUUCUCAAGUGAAAAUGGAGGCAUAAAUUCUUUCAAAAGAGUGAAUUAGAGUGGAAGGUCCUUGAGGGAAGGAGCAGAACCUCCUUCACAAAGUAAUAAGUAAUAGGUUCUAAAAAAAAAUCUGCUAAAUUAAUGAAUGGCUCCAUUUAAAAAUAAUUUUCAUAUUCUCCUUUAUCUAAACCAACUAUCAAGGUAAGUUUAGGAACUUUACUAGGCUCAGUUAAGAAAGAGUUGAUUUUCAACAAGGACAUAAAGUCAUUAAUUUUUGUAAUUCAUUCUUUUUAAUCCCCAUUCACAUUCCCAAUUCUGUUCACCCCAUAUUGUAUUGUUAAUGGAACUAAUCCUGUAUGAAAGUGAUGGGGUAUGAAGCCAGAAAGGUAGUGAGAUGUGUAUUGUAUUGGGCCUUAUAGCCCCUAGUAAGGGUUUUGGGAUCUCAACCAUCGAAGAGCCUGAAAAAUUCUAAUGGGUAGGAGGAAAUGGAUAGGAGAUUGCUGUUGAAAUCACAGCAACCCUGUCAUUGUAGGAUGACCGGAUGAGGCAAUUUCCACUGAAGGCUGGAAGUAUGGAUUUAGUAGCUUGAUUUAGGCUAUAUGUCAAAUAUGACAUUCCCAGCUAGUGUAAAUAAAGGCAAACUGUGCCUCACUGAACUUUCCAUUUGUGCCUUAUCACCAGUUUUACCAACCUGACAGUCCCAUUUGGCAGCCAUACCUAAAAGAAGCUCAAAGAAUAGUAGCAAGUGUGCUUUAGAAAUUUCAAAAGAUCUCCAGUUCCAACCAUAAGCUUUAAGACGAUUAAAACAAGAAUUUUAAAUAUUAGGUAGAUUUUCAUUUGUAUUAAUUGUUGCUAUGCUAGGAAUUAUAGAAUUCCCGGGCACUUAAUGAUGUGUGCUUAAGUCACUUUGCAGAAGAAUUAGAGGUUGAAAGUCCACACAAGAUGUACACUCUCUGUGAUCAAGUCCUAACAAAGCAAGCCAAUUUACUGCAUGUCCUUUUGAGAAGGGAGAGAUGUGAUAAUUUUCCUAAAAUGGGACAUUCAGAAGAGGUCAUUUUCUUGUCUGUUUUUAUCUAAAUCUUUUAAACCCUGAAGCCAUGUACUAGUAGAACUGAGGGAAAUAGCCUAGAAUUUUUCUUGUCAUUUACAGAGAUGACAGACUUUAAAAUCUGAUGGCUUUUUCAAAAGCUUCUAACAAGACCUAGAACUUGCCUGGCUCCAUUUAUCUAGCCAAGAGACAUUUUUAUGAUUUAUCCAUAGAGGUUUUUAGAAGAACCUUACAUAUACUGUCUAAAUUAAUGAUAUUCCUUUCUCUUUCCAUGACAAAAAGCACUCUACACUAUAUACAUUAUGCUAAAGGUUUUUUUUUAAACAUGUGGACAUAUUCUAUAAAAGCAUUUUCAGUUUCAUCAUGUUGACAAGCUGAUUCUAUUAAAUCACCCACCAUCAUCAUGUUCACUUUUUUUCUUCUUUUUUGAAAAGUUAGAAAACAGUGAUCACAGAGUUUUCAAGGCAUUCACUUUGGCUAAAAUAAAUCCAGAAAAACAUGAGUCUGUUCCUUGAACUGGAAAGAAAGAUAUGUCAUUCUCUCUUCAGUCUUUCUCUUAAAACUACUUAGGAUAAGGAAGGAGGCCAUAGCUCUUUUGAAAAUUUUUCCAGAAAACUGAGAUUUUUAAAAUGUUCUGAACAUAGAUCAAAUGUUUCUACCUCAUUAUUUAUUAUGUAUUAUUAUUUGUUACUUAAAAUAGGCAGUGCAAAACAUUGAAUGAAUGACAUGAAAGGGUUUCAUUCAAAGAUUUUUGACUAUACACCCUCAGAUAUAUUGCUAUUCAAUAAUAUUUUAGAGUCACGCUGCUGUUUUGAAUUAGGGCAGAAAUAUCCCUACUCCUCCCAACCCUGUGCUUUCCUUACUGAGAGAGAAUAAUCAUAUGAUCACGCUGCUGCUGGAUCAUUUAAAGCAUUGAGUAGAAGUGUGAAAUGAGAGAAAAAAUGCCCAGUAUGGGGUUAAUUAGCUCUGUGGAGUUGUGGGUGGGUCACUUCCUCAGGACCAAAUCAUGCAGGAGGAACUAUGCAUAUGCAGACUUACAGAAUAAAAAGAAAGACAUAAACCUUCAGACUCUGGGGCACAAAUUGAUUGGAAACAAGAAAGGAAGUCUUAUGUGCUGUGAGUCCUUUGGGCUCCAUUGGUCAGAGACAAAUGGUCUUCCCUUAAAGUGUCUGGUACAGGCCACUGUCAGACACUGAAAAUAAAUCCAUGGUUUAAGAAAGCCCUGGCAAAAGUGACUAUUUUUUUUAAUUUACCUCUGUUGAUCCUUUAUAAAUUAAUAUCUUCUCAGUUUCCUUUAAUGUGCCUUAUUUUCCAGGUCUUAUCUUGGAAACAACCUAAUUUCUUCCUUAAAGCAUGGGUGAAGAAUCUUUUAUGAUUUCAUCAUUGUGUCUCACAGACUGCUACUGGUUCCCUGCCUGCGGAGAUCAGUUCAGCUAUAGUUUGGCCUGAGGGAUUCCUACUAGGUUGUUUACAGCCUAAUCUUUUCAUGAAGUGGGAGGUGAAAGAGCACACAGAAAACAUUCUCAGUUCCUAGAUCCUUAAUAGGUGACUACAAGAAUUCAGAUGUUUACAAGGAAAUCUCACCAGCCAGGUUUUCCAGGACAGAAAGGCAUUGUAAAAUCUCAUUGAGAACUUGCUAACAAAAACCAGGAACCAAUGGACAUAAACCAUAAGAAAAACACUUUCGAUGAAUAUGUUAAUUAAGUUUCAGUGCAAACCAUUUGUGUUUUUUUGUUUCUACCCAAAUUACCCUGACAUUAUUUAGAAGAAACUUCAUAAAGUAUAUGGACAGAAAGUCCCAAAAUGUUCAUAACUUUUGAAAGGAAACAUAUGAUGUAUGCAUAUUUCUAUAGAUAUUUUUAUUUGAUCUCAAAUGGGGAAGCAGAUGAACAGCUGGAGAAUUUAAAGAGUCUGGGACAGAACCCACUACCACCACCACCCUCUCCCCCCACACAAACACCAAAUAUUUCCCUCAUUACCUGUAAAAUAAACUUGAAUGUAGAUCUUGCAAUGACAGUUAAGAAAAUGCAAAUUCCUUUAAGAGGAAGUAUUAAAACAAUUGCAUUAAUACAUUUUUAGAAAACUGAGAGAAGGUUGUGGUUGGGGAGGAUAGAGAGCUGACUGAGAAUGUCUCCAAAGAAACAGUCCCAGUCACUUUUGUUCCUUUUUCUUUAGCUGCCUGAUGAUAGGGAUGUGGAUGUGGAAAUAAGAAGAGAUGGAAGGAGGGAGACGGAAUAAUAAGCUUUAUGAAUUCUAAUAACCCAUGUUAUCAGCUUAUUGUGUCACAGCUUUUCAAAAUUCAAGUUGCUAGUUAGCUUGACAACAUUGCUGUUCAGUUCAUUCCUGUCAUUUGAAAAACAUAAGCAAUGGCUACAUGCACCACCCAUUAUCCUAGUGAGGUUGUCAAAGUUAGCUUUAUGCUGACUUUAUUUUCUGUAGUUCUACUGAACAAAAUGUUUCUUUUGAAAGGUUUUAGACCUCUAUCCUCCCAACUCCUGAUCACAGUAAUAAUCAACCUCAAGAAGUCAUUAGUGAAAACUAGAACAAUCUCCUAUAACAAGUAGAUGCAGAGAAAUUGGCAUAGUUUGUGUCUUUGAUUUGUGUUCUUAUAAAAAUAAUGGGUUGCAAGAUAAAACUACAUUUUUCUCUCUCUGUCUCUUUUUUAACUGGAUCUUUAGAAGUUACACUGGAGCUGAGGUUUUGUUGUUUCCCCCCCCCUUACAAAGGUGGAAUAAUGCUCAAAGGUUUUAAUAACCAAAGUCCAUCUUUAGAAAUAGCUUUCUUCUAUAAUGUACUGCCAAUUUAUUAUGUGUGUGUAUUUUGACCUUCCUGCUUUGGGCUGCCUGUUGAUUGGUACAUGUUAGUGCUUUGCUUAUAAGAGUUGGGCAAUAGUUCAGUGAUCCAGUCCAAAUCUGGGCCAUAGAUAGAAUGGGCUCAUCUUCUAUUUAAGAAAUGUGGCAAACUGCUUUAAAUGCAUUUAGUUCAGACAAGGUCAUUGAAACUGUUCAUCUGACCCUGUGUGCUGUAUGUAAUGGACACUUCUACUGAGCUCCAAAGCUGCAAGGUAAAAGGACAAGAAAGCCAGUAACUUGCCACCCUGGCUAGAGCUUCUCCGGGAGUCUGUUAUUGGAUUUGCAUUCUUAAUCAUAUGGGGCCCACGUUGGUCAUUUAAAGGAGUUGUUCUAUGGUUCUUUUGCUGUCUUUGAAGAUAGUCCUGGGAAUAAUAAAAGUGAGUUCUUAUAUACUGAACUUUUUCUAACUUUUUCUUUAAUUGGAAAUUGAGUUUAUAUGCAUAGUCAGUACCAAGUUUAUGAAAUAUUCAGCUAAAUUUCUUAGAUGUAAACUAAUAAAUUGUUAAAAUGUUUUCCUCUAGCUAAUCAUUAUGUCAAAACUAUAAUAGAUUCAUGUACAUUUUUCUCCAAUUUUAUUUGUGUCAUAUGCACUUGCCAAACUGAAAUGGUAUAGAAGUACCAUAUACAGUAUUUUGAAUUUAAUAGCUAUCUGUAUUGCCUAAUCCUUUUUUAAUUUUACAGUGUAUUUUACUAACCUGUGGCUCUGUAUAAUUUUUAGGUUUAACAUGUUAUAGGACUUUGUAGAAUCAUAUGGAGCAAAUCAAGUCUAGAGAGGUUAUUGAAUUCAUCCCCCUGACUGGAGAAAGAACUGCAUUUAUUCCAUACUAAAUAGAUAAAGAUCUUUCCUAUCUUUAAAGAGCUAUGAAGAAAGAAAUUUUCUAACUUCUCUUACCAAUCUAUUUGAUUAUUUAGCACUUUCAUAUUUAAAAUGUUCCUCUUAAAGUCUUAAAUUCUUCACUGGACAGUUUAAUAUCAUUUUGCCUUAGGACAAGAAUGCUGAUCAUUAUCCUCUUUGUAAACAGAAAACUAUGACAAAUAUACAUUAGCUCUUUUUUCCCUAAGCUAAAUUAUCCCAUUAAAAAAAUUUACUUUUGCUCUUAUAACUCUUUUCAGUGGCACAGGGGACUAUUUUAAAAACUUCUGUCAUAUAUGAUGUCUCUGAGAAAGGCACUGCAUAUUUUAAUUUCACCAUGCUGAUGUGGAAAUAGCCACAGCUUGUUCAUUAUAUCCUGAUGGACAGAGCAUUUGUGUUCAUUUAACCUUGAGGUUUAAACUUGUUCCCAAAAAAGUAACUGACUCAUAGCAUUGGCUAGAGCCAUGAAUAAAGAGCAUCAGUUUUCCUAAUCUUUAAGCUCAUCUUGCCCUCACUCCUAAAAUGCACUAAAAUUAACUUUUCCUUGACCUCUCUCUGGUGCUAUUUAUUUACUGAUUUAACAACUUUUUUUUCUAUCAUCUUUGUCUCCUAAAAUAGAUGGACGGCAUUUAUUCAACAAACAUUGGAGUGUCAUGCUGUGUUUAACACACUAUGCUAGGCUUUGAGAUUCAAGUGUGAACUGUUAGCAAAGGCUCAGAGACAUAGAUGUUCUCACAUGCUCAGGGAGGAGGAAAUGGGCUGUCACAGUAUAUAAAGAAACAAUGGAGGAAAAACAAUUUUAAAAACUGGAGAGAUGGGGUGGAGCCAGAUUGUGAAAAGCCUUAGAUUCUCUUAAACAUCUAGGAGGUAGUGACAGAAUGAAAGUAACUUUUUCCAAUCUAUAUUACAGAACACUCUUUCCAAAUCUUUAGAACAGACUUUGCCCAUGUUGUCCUCAUGAUUUAAUAGCUACACAUCAUUAGGUACAAGUACCGACUUAAUUUAUAUAUUUUGAUAUAACUUUAGUGAUGUAAUUUUGCUUGUUGUAUUGUUUUUAAACCAUUUGAGGGAACCAUUUGAGUAAAGAGAGUCUUCUGUUCACACUGAUCUGAAUGUUUCUUUCUCCCUCCUGCUGUGCUCAUAUUUAUUCCAAAGCCCUCUGUGCCGCUAAUAUGUUACUUUCUGUGUUUAUACACCAAGUAAACUUGGGAUAAGCUUGCCCUGUAAUAGGCAUAAUCUCUUUGUACCAAACGACAUUAAUGGUAGAUUGUGAGCAGAAUUACAACCAAGUGCCUCUGAUUAGACCACCUGAUAGCAUCACUCGGAUGCUUCAGAGUCACCUAAAGAGUAUCAAUUUACUGUUGAGUCAAAGAUCAUAAUACAUCAAUCCUUCUGAAAUCUAUAAAGCUACAACCUCAGGAAUUUGAGAUAUGGAGAGAAAAGUUAUUUGAAAUCAGAUUAUAAAGUCUUCCUAAAAAUCAUAAUGCUAAAGGUUUGGGUCUAUUUUAGGAGCUAAAAUCAUGCUAAAUGUAAAGAGAGGUAAGGCCCUAACCACCCCUCCCAGCACUACAGCUUUCUAGUUUCUCAGGCCCCUGUACCUGUAAGAAUCAGGAAGGGUAGGAAGACUUGUGCAAGGUGGAGUGGAGUGUUAACAUUGUAUCUUGGCAAUGUCUCAGUUUCAGAAAUAGUCCCAGGCCUACUUGCUGAACUUCGGUUUUAAAAUCCUCUCUCUCUAUUGAUCAUUAUUUUAUUCAUCAUCUAAAUUGUUGAAUGUAGACAUCUUUCAGGGUUGUAAUCAUAGCAUCUUUAUGAUUCCUUUAUCAUUCGUCUGAAAAUGAAUCCAAAAUAAUACGAUCUUGAAAAGCAGACCUUAAGGUAUGAAUGACCAUUUGUGGCACACAUAGUCUUUUAUGACUGGCUAAAAGAAAUGAAAAUACCUAAGAAACUUAUUCAUAAGAGAUGCUAAAAGAACUAGUAGGAGACUGUGAAUGCUCUGUAUGAACAUUUGAAUAAGCUUUGUCUGACUUUAACUUGUAAACUUUUGCUAGAUUAGAGAAUUAAAAACUCCUGAAACCAAGAUGUAUGAAAUGUCAUUAAAUCUAGCACAAAAUUUCUUGAAUAUGUCAGAUAAAGGAAAUCAUAUAUCCAGAGUGAAGAUGGAAUAUCAGUUGACAAGAAUCUACAUAGCACUUACUCUGAGGCAUAUGAAUCUAAAAAUCCAAUAAUGUCUUACCCUUUGAAAAUACUGGAAGUUGGAAAUGUAUUAGGAAAAUCGGUAAAAAUUUUCUUCCUACUAUUUGGAAUGAUUCCCACAUAAGAAUUCAAUACAAUACUUCUAGAAUAUUAAAGAGAUAUUAAAACAUCUCUACCUGUAGAAAACAAAAAUAUAAACUCACCUGACUUCUAAAGAGAGCAGUGGAAUAAAAUAGAUUGGGAAGAUUAAAAACAAGUCCUUUUGGCCCACCUUUUACCAAAACACUUUAAGCUAGGUAAAUGUUGAACUUCAGUUCAUCUAAAUUCCUCAGGUCUGUCAUCAGUUCUGUGACACAUUCUAAUGUUCUGAAUCAUUUGUGGUGAAUAAGCUCUCCCUUUUCUUCUUAUAGUGCUUAAAGUAACCAAUUUUGUGAGUUAUGAUUACUUAUUUUUAAAAAUUGAACUAUUGUUGUUUUCUCUUAGCAAAGUUGUCUAUCACCCAGUGAGUCCCAAGUGUAGAAAAGCCCUUGGCCAGUAACAUUGCCUACGCUUGGAGUUAGUUAAAAGGAAUGAGAGACUGACAACCCAGAUUCCGUUUUUAACCCAGCCAGAUACCUCAGCUGGCAAGCGGCUCAGCGCCCUCACCAUAAAAUGGGUAUAAUAAUAGCUUUCCUUACCACUGUGAAAUAUUUAGAAUGCAAUCAAGCCAAACCUGUCUCCUUCCAAAGAAAAGCUUAAACCACCCUGCAUAAUCCUGAAUGAGCCCAGAUUUUAAAGGGAAGCAUAAAAUGGGAAACACCUAGAGGUAGUAUAAUUUAGUGGUUAAAAAAAAUGUAGACUUUGGAAUAAUACAAACUUACAUGCUAGCAGCUGUGUGAUUUGAGACUAAAUUUUUUAAAUCCCCCCUCCUAAUAAAUUGUAAAUAACAGUAUUUUCUUAGUGAGGAUUAGAUGAUAUAGUGUACCAAUGCUUCUUAAACUCUUCCACUUGGAUUAUCCUCAAGAUAGUGAUCUGAGUGCCUGCUGAGACAUCGCCAGACACAGUGGACUUUUCAGUGAGGCCUCAUUUGUCGCUUUGAAAAUACAUACAAAUUUUGCUUUCUACUCUGUAGUAUAUUCUUAUGUUUCACCAAAUUGGAAAUUCUACAAGGACAAGACAGAAUCUAUUGUGUUUCUUCUAUAACAUCCAAGAAACAGUUAUUGGCUAGAAGAAUGAAUUACAAUAAGAAUUUAAGUUGCCCGCAAAGAAAACUGAUCCUCCAGGAAGUCAGGCAUGUCUUAGUAAUUCUGUAGCUUUGGGCACUCCAUGUUACACUCUCCAUACCCUAGGUAUACACAGAGUCAAACUGAAGAAGCUUUUACUUACCAAGAUGCCUGAAACCAUAUAAGGUACUCAGUAAAUUUUAGUAACUCUUUUUAUCAUUAUAAUUUCUCUGCUCCAUGCUUCUCUACCAUAGUAUAGGUAUGGAUCUAUGGACAAUUUAAAAAACAAAUUAUAAAAGGCUUCGAAGAUAGGCUCCUGAGAGGCAUUAAAGAAGCCCACGUGUCUCUGAGCACACAUGCUCACCCACUUAGAGCUCUAUUUCUUACAUGUCUUCCUUACUUCUGGCUUCAGCCUGUUGUGUUUUGUUAAAACUUCCUGAGGGCAAUGAGCAGUGAGAUUUAAAAAGGGGUUUUCUACUCUCCCUCAAGGUCAGGGGUAAGUAACCUGGGAUUCGUAAAUGAAUCUUCAUGGAGUCUGGGAAUUCCUUGAAACUUGGUAUUUUUGAGGAGUUUUUCUGAGGGAGGGAUUUGCAUAGGAAUCUGUUUUUCCUUUUUUUUUUUUUUUUUUCUGGUACCGGGAAUCAAACUCAGGACCUUGUGCUUGUGAGUCAGCCGCGGUGCCACUGAACUAAAUCCCCCGCCCCUUGCAUAGGAAUCUGUAUCACCUCCAAAUGUUGGAAACCACUGCUACAAAAAUUGUGUAAAUUGAAAGUAGAAGUAACUAAUCUUUAAAAUUACAAGUAGUAAUACUUUUAGUUCCUUGAAUACUGACAUUGUAUAACAAUUUCUACUUGGAAAUCAUGAGGCUUAGACUCCACUGUAAGUUACCUCUUUUGCUUAUCUCUUUGCAUAAGCCCCCACCAUUAUGUUUUAAUGCCCUGAAUUAUUUGGCCUUUAUAGUUUGAUAUUCUCUACUCUUUUACAUAUCUCUGUGUUGAUCCUAGCAUGCUUAUUGUGAAUGUUUUAUGGAAAGCUCUUUGAAUUUUAGAUAAAAAUAAUUUACAGACAUAUAAGGUGAAUAUCUUUGAAAUAGAAAGGGCAUAUAUCUAUAACAUAACAAUUUGAACUGAACAAAAGUAAAUCUCUGCAGAUUAAUACAUAUUCUUAAAUUUUAAACACGUAUUGUAAUGCAAUCAAGAAGUAGGAGUCUUUUGAUGUUAAUGAACAUUUAUGAAUUGUAUAAAUCUGUGAGAUUAAAUCUUAGUCUUAGUAUUAAAUUUGGGAUCAGUAUUAUUGGUUUGCAUUAAUAUAUAAGGACAAUUACAUUCAAACAAAUCUUCAAUUUAACUUGGUUUUAAAUUGUGUUAGACUGUGACAUAUACUGUGAUUUUUCUCUUCAUCUUGGAUUCCUGUCAUUGACAGCCUGUGUGUCAUUUGACAUCCGGAAAGAUCAUUUUUCAUUCCAUACCUUGUUUGUAUUAGUCAAUUUAGGUACACUUUACAUUGAUCUCUUUUGAUCACAUCAAAAUUAAUUUUGACUAAUUUCAUGAAUAAAAUGUCCAUUGAAAUUUAGAAAAAGUUACAUGUUUAGACAUAUGAAUAUAAAUACUAAGUAUAGUCAAAAGAGCAUAAUAUAUUACUGAAAGUUAUUGGAUUUAUAACAUGCCAUAGAAAAGUGGAAACUUAACAUAUGUUUUAGAAAAUUGCUAACCAUAUUUUUUUUUUCUCCUGAAAGGUUGAGAAAGAAAGCAACCUCAAAAAAGUGGUGGAGAGGGGGUUAGAGAGAAAAAAGAAAGAAAAAAAGGAGAGAAGGAAACAGGGGAAAAUUCCUUGACCAUCAGUUUGUCACCUGCCCCUUCUCUUUAUGUAAGUAAAAGUGGUUUAUUUACCUUUUAAAAAGUUAUGUCAGAUUUGGGGAAUUUUGGUCUUUAUUGACAUCUUUGCUAGCUGACUUGGCCUCUAGCAUUUGUUUGGUGUGUGUUAGCUUCUUUCGUGUUUGGAGUUGAGGCUGUUGGUAGUAGUGGUAUGUUACCAUCCAGGUGGGAGCUGAAAAGACCAGCAGCCCAAGCUCCUGUUCCUAUAUAGACUGCCCUGUACUUGGCCAUGUUGCUAAUUUCAAAGGUCACUGCUCUUCUAAACUGCGGCUUACGUUUUUCUAUCAGUUAUCAGCCAUGAGUUGGGCUAUCAGUGAGUGCACAAUUAUUUAUUCUGCAGUUACUCACCUAUCUAUAGAUCCAACAGUUUUUAAUUUUAACUCCUAGAUCAGAGAUGUCUUUUUACUAAGGAGUAUAAGACAGAAAAUUGAAUAGACUAAAUUUUUGUGCAAAAUUUUUAAAGUUGGGGGAGAUUAAAAGAAAUCUAGGAUUCAUAUGUGCCAAUAGGCAUAUAAAAGAUACCAUUGUAUUUUAGAAAAAAAUGAGAAGUUAUUUGGGAAAAAAACAUUUGAUUUUAAGUGAAAAAAUUUUUUAUUGUUGUUAUUAUUAAUAGAACCAAACCAGGCUAAACUGCUAGGGUUUGGGUUUGAAUAUAUAUUACUCUGAGUUUCUUGAAAGAGGUUCUGGGGCAGCAAAACCAAAAGAUCAAAGUCAGUACAAGAGACACUGCCCAAGAAAUCCUACAGUGAGUGACAGUCACCUGAUGUGAUAAAUAAUCAUCAGCAUCCUUCUGGCUGCAUCUCACCCUCUGAUGCAUAUUGUCCAUUAAAAAUUAUGUCUUAUUUCACUGACUCUUUACUCCAAAGUAUUUCAUGUGUUGUAAUCAUCUGUACAAAGAGGAGGUUAGCAUGGCUUUUUUCCUUAUGUGUAGCUUCCACUAAUAUUCUUAGGAGCUAAUAGCAAAUAUAUUUAGGGGACCUGAGUCCUCCAAAGGAUUUUAAGGCUAAAGUCUAGUUUGACAUUUUAUUUGACAGAGAAAGGCUGGUGCUAUAUGUAAUGCAUUCAUACAGCAGGGGUGGGUCCUACCUUCCCCUGACACGUCUUGUUAUUCCCUGUUCUUGAUGUUGAUAGAGUAGGUCUGUUAAGGCUUUGGAAGAUGUCAGUGUGCAUACUUAUUGUUACCACUUUAUUUAUUUACAUCCUUCUCCUCAGUUACCCAGCACUGCAUAUUUCUAGUCUUCUGACUGGCAAAUCAUUUUUUGUUACAGUUCUUUUGUGUAAAACCAGUUCACAUAAUAGCUCUGUGUUAGACAAGGCAUUAAUCCUCACAUCACCAGAAUGAGUCAGCACCAUGCACUCCUGCCUGCACAGCUCAGCUAUUAUGACGUCAGUGCUUGAGGGCAAGCUUCAGACACAAGCAGUAUGAGAGACCUGUGUCACCUAUUAAAAAUCGAGGAGGAGAACUUUGAGAUAAAAGAUAUAAUUGAAAGGCUGUGUCUGGCUCAUAGAAAAAUGUAAAAUUGAUUCUGUGCUGCAUCAACCAUCAGUCAAGCAGCUUCUUGAGAGAUGGAAUUUUUUUAACCAGAUAUAAGAGGAGGGCAAAGACCUAUGGUAACUUGAUAAUCCGUUCAUAUACUCAUGACCUUGUCCCACCCUGGGACAUAGUUCAUGCUUGCUUGAAUUUUUCCAAAUUCUGAGGUUGCUUUUAUGCCAGCAAGGUGACGGUCCUGCUGUCCUCAAAUGCCCUGUGGUUGUGGCUGAUGGCUUCAGGGAUUGAGCCUCAGAGGCCCAUCAGAAAAAAAGGAACCAUUUCUUGCAAACAGAUCAGAACAUUAUCUCACCAGUGCUUCUCACUCCAAGUGCCUCUUCAGUGGCCUUCUCUGGAUAGGUGCAGAAUUCAGCAGUUUUGACCUCCCUUAGGCACUACAUUUAGUCCAAUGUCCCAAUCUGCAUUUGACCCCAAUUUCAAUAGUAACUGAAUAGCUGCCAGAUUUUUCCCAAGAGUUUUCCUUUCAAUUAGUCUUUUACAGAAACAAACAAACAAAUAAAAAGGAAUCCACCAUAACCUACCGUGCUGUUUUGAAGCAGGUAGCAGAGAGUCAUCCUAUGUGGGAAACCCUGUUCUUAUAAGUUAGGCCUCUCCACAGUUCAGACUGAGACACAUCCUUUAGACAGUGCCUUUCAGUAUUGAAAACCACAUUGUAAAUGGUGAUAAUUUACUGCCUUAGUGAUAUUCUCUGCUUUAAAAAAAGACAUUCCGGGCUAGGGAUUUAGCUCAGUGGUUCUGCCACAUUCCCCACAAGCACAAGGACCUGAGUUCAAUCCCCGGUACCAAAAAAAAAAAAAAAAAAAGACAUUCCUCCAUCGCAGCAUCCAUGUCCCUGCCUUACUCUUACCCCAGCCAAUUAAUCACCAGCCUCUUUGAUAAUCAUCAGAAAAUGCCUUACUGCUGGGCUCUUCCACCUUCAUUAGAUUGAUAAUAGUCUCCUACCAUGCUUAUAAAAGCUAAUACUACUGUUUGGCUUAGUUUUGAUUCAUUAUGCAUAGAUCUUUAUUUUGUUUUCAGUUAACCAAUGUUUAUGGAAAACUUGUUACUAUACUAUGUUCUGGGAACUCCAAAAUAAAUAAGACAUGAUCCUUUUUAAAAAAUGUUACAGUAUAAUAGGGGAGAAAAAUAAGUGAAUAAAGACUAUCUUAUGUGAUAGGUGUAGGAGUGUAGGUACACCCAAGAUGUAUGAAGAAGAAUGAGAAAGGAGUGCCCGUCUGCAUGUGGGGAGGUGUCCAAGAUGAUUCUUAAAGUCAAAACAAUGAAUAUCAGUAUACCAGCUGGAUAGAGGAGAGGUAAAAGGAAGAGGAUUCAUAAUCAAGUAAAACAUGAGAACAUUUAUAAAGUCAAGAGGCAUCAAGUUAUAGCCAGGUCCAUAGGACUGAUUGGUUUUGUGUUGCUGGAGCUCAGUAAGUUGAUUAAAAGAGUAGCAUAAGAGAUGGAGGUGGGAAAGCAGGCAGGGGGAAGAUCACAAAAGGCCCUUGUAUACCAUGCAAAGGAGUCCGGACUUCCUUCUUCAGGCUCAAAGAGAUUUUAAAGAAUUUAAAGAAAAUUUACGUUUUGGAAAGAGCACUCUAUUGUUGAGAUGGCUGACUGAGAAUAGGGAAACCAGGUCAAAGGUGAAAACCAAGGGCCCCAACUGUUCAGUUAGGUCUGGAGUAGAACAGAGAGGCUAUUUGGGAGUAUUGACAUAGGCAUUAACAUUUGCAGAAUUCCAGCAUAUCUUGGCCCACUGCAUAAACCUGCCUUCUAGGAGAAAGGUUAAUAUGUUGAAUGAGGCCAAAUUUCAGACCAAAAUACAUCCUUAUGGGAGCUUCACGGGAGAAUCUCUCUCACCUUACUCUGAGCUGCUGGUCUCCAGGAUUGUGCGUAUCCUGCCCAAAGUAGGCAUGAGGCAAGAGGAAAGGGAGCAGAUAAGAAGAAAAUGUUGCUUUUCUUUCACCUGAAAAUCAAACCAUUUCCUAAUAAUGUCUCCUUAAAGUCAGUUAAUGCCCCAAUUUCCUAUUGUUUUCCCAUUGCUGCUUUUUCCAAGCAGAAUUUUCAAGCCAUUGAACUGAAUUGCAACUUAUGCACAGCCCGGGUGUUGAAAUAGUAAAGUAUAUUCAUCCCUUCUCUCUGAAUGAGAGUUCACCAUAAGUGUGCUUUUCUCUUGUUCACUUUGGGCUUCCAGGACAGUUUAAAGGAAAUGUUCAACAGCUUAUGUCUCACGUACCCUGUUCGCGAGACAAACGGGAAGAUUUGCGUGGGUGUGUUUAAGUCUUCUCUAUAUUGCUUCCUAGAGAAAGGUUUGAGAAGAUGAACAAGAUGGGGAGUAGGGACCUACUGAAAGCCCAGGUCUCUCAGUGACCUGAGUGCAGAACAUAGGCUGGUGAUCAGAUGGUCAAUUAUGUGUUUGUCAAAACACAGUGGGCUGCAUUCCAGAUUGCCAGCUUUGGAGGCCCAGUUUCUGCCAACCAAAUGUCAUCUGGGAACAUGCAACACUGGGCACUGUGAAGGAGUUUGAAAUAGACCACGCCACAGCCAACCUACUGCCACUCUUAUAGCACCAAUAUGGCAUGCACAGCCGGGCCCCAUGUUUCAGAGCUCAGGAAUUCACUGUACUAAAUUCAGGAGGUCAGAUGGGUUCAUGUUUUCAAAGCCUAUGUUCUCUGCUUUGAACACUGUGACUUGCUGCUCAACAAUUUCCAGGGGAUUUUUCCAGUCCCCUGUCUGUGGAAACCACUCUUUUUGUGAUGGUUAUGAGAGCCUUGUAAAUGUCCUGGAGGAAAAGGAAAAAAAUAAACUUGCUCUGACAAUGACUGUGAUUCCUACAAGGGAUUCCAACUCUUAGGAAAUUACAUUAAAGGUGCAUAGCUUUUAAAAUAUCAGGAACCACCUUGGCAACUUAUGAAAAGCAGAAGGGCUUUGCCUAUUUUAUAAAGUGAUUUGCAUAUACCUGCAUAAAUAAUGUCCCCACCUGUACUUUUAUGCAUUUAGGUUGAAUAAAUUAAAUUCAGUGAUCUUUAAAAUAUUCACUGUCUUUCAUUGCUAAGACUCCAUUUUCAGGACCCUUCUCUCUUUUUUUUUUUCUUGUAGUGGUAGUGGCUUAUUUUUUUUUCCCAGCUAAUUCAGAGAAUCAAAACACUGUGCAGACCAGUCUACCACAGCCAGGAGUAUCGUCUCCCGCUGCUUGAAUUUCCCUUAGUUUUCUAUCUAUCGAGCCAUGUCCCAUAUACUUUUCAAGCUAGAAAAUGGAGGAAUAUAUUACUAAGAUGAAAGCAUGGCACAAGAUAGGAUUAAGCUCUGCUACCUAUAUGUAUAUUCAGACUUUUCUUUCUUUGAGCACUGCCAUAGCCCCUUCAGAAACAAUCCAGCUACCUAUCCCAUAACAAUUUUAAGUCGGGCCUUCAAACCGAAGCCUGGCUCAGUAGGCCAGUCUCAGCCACAGUCAUUCCAUAAGAUAUUAUUAAGCACUUAUUAUGUACAAAGAAUCAUGUCUAGUGGAGAAUUAAAACAUAAAUACAGGAUAUUGACCUUAUUGUAAAUGAAUUUGAAAUUGAGUUAGAAAAGAAGUUAUACUGUGGAGUAUUUUGUAUGUUCAUAAGACGGUAAAUGUUGAAGUUGCACAAAGAAUGAUUUAGUCCAGGAGGAACUAUAAGAUUUCAUUCUUGAGAUCUUGAGAGCUAGAAAUUUACAUAUAAAUGUAAAAUGUGAUUCAAAUCGAUCUUUAAAAGUGGCUAGAAUGCAAAAAAGAUAUGGAGAAUGAUAUUUCAAACAAAAGCACUGGGAUCUUUGAGCAGGUCUAUAAGUAGCACUGUUCUUCUUCACCCAAAUUCUAAACCCACUGAAAAAUGAGACAAAAGAAUUGAUAGCUGGGGAAUCAAAAUUCUGUAAAUGUUGGUUGAAGAGUAUAGGAAAAUGGGCUCACUGACUCCCUUCCCUUCACCAUGAACUUUGAAAAACUUUCCUAAGGGAUAAUUUGGACCUUCAUAUAACCAAUACUUUUCCAGGUCAUAAUUCCCACUAGUCUAAGUAGUAAAGAAGGGAGAAUGAGGCUAAACUGUACUUACAAACUGAUAGAUCAAUUCUAUGUAAAUGAGAAAUAUGGACCACAGGCUGUUUUACCAACAAGAUGAUUUGUUUCUAUGGAGAAGUAUAAGGAAUGAGGCAAGAGGUAAACAGUGUUCAGAAAACUUGUUUGUGGAAACUCGGAAUAAGGAAGAUAUAGUCUUAACCAACAUGAAGAUCCACAAGCUGGAAAAUAGGAGCAAGUGAGAUGAACUAGAAGUGGGAUGAAAAUGCAGAACCAAGAGGCUAGAAAAUUUUUUCAUCUGUCUAAGGGGUACCCCUGGGACUAGAAUCAGCAGUCAUUGUGGUUAGCCAAGUGGUUAUACUGAGGACUGCUUUUGGGUGUCUCAAAGUUAUUAGCAACAGAACCUGGAGUAACAGGCAAACAUAAAUAAAUAAAUAAACCUAUUAGGAAAAGAAACACAAACACUUGUAUCUCUUAUUAAACUAAUAACAACAAUAGGACAUAAUGUGGACAUAACAUUUAUUGAAUACUUGCCUUGCUUUUGGUACUAGAUUAAAUACUUUUAAUGGCUAUCUGAUUUAAUUUAUAAAGCUAUAAUAUUAUGUAGAUGCUGUUAUAAUAGUUGUGCAGAUGAAGAAAUUGAGAUUUAGUAAUGUGAUUUUCUCCAGUAGUUCAGUGACCAACAUGAAAAGACAUAAGAAAUGUGUAUUUCAGUUCAAAUUAUGGUGGGGUUUCACCAGUGUUUGUAGACAGGAAUUGCAGUUUUAGUUUUUCUUUUUUGUUGUUUUUGUUUUUGUUUCCCAUCUUUGGUUCUAGCUGAGGCCAGUGUAGAAGGGCAGUGAAAAGGCUCAGCUAAAUUAUCCAAGCAUUUAUUGGGACCUACAUUGUGUGUGAUCCAGAAAAUACUUAGAUGAAUAAGGCACUAUCUCUGCCUUCAAAAAGCUCCCAAUCUAGGGUGGUCUGAAGGCUGCCAUCUGGCCCAAGAGACUAGGAGCAGUUGAUUAAUCUUUGCUAAAAGACAAGAGGACUCACAUCUCCCUUUUCUUUUUCUUUCUUUUUUUUUUUUUGCUGGCUCCUUCCCUUCCUCUACUCUCCCUACCCUUUCCAUUCCCAGUCAUUGUUUUUUUUCCUCAAAAAAUAUCUCUCUGCCUUGUUGCCAAGCCUCUAAUAAGCUUCAAGCAUAUAUGAAUGACAAGUCUGAUUUUUCUCACUAUCAUUUUGCUAAAAUUUGACCAUUUAGAAGCAAUUAGAUCAUCUACUUGAAGUGGUGUAUAGCAUGAAUUUUCUCUAAAUUUUCAGAGCUGGCAUCUAACUAUUCAAAAGGUUAUUUAAGAGGAAAUGAGAGAUGAAGGAUGGGUAGGUUGGAGAGAGAAAAAAAGGAAAGAAAGAAGGAAAGGAAGGAGGAGAAAAAUGUAGGAAAAGAAAGAAGGCUAAUUACAGAAGACUUUUAGGGAGUUCAAAAUGGAACUCUGAUUUGAAAUGAAUAAAUGAGUUUCUGUCUCUAGUGUUGAUCUAAACCAUCAGCUUCCAGAGUGGAAACCUGAAGCAACCAGAAUAUUAUAGAUUGAUGAAAUUCCAGCUGCUGGCAGAUUUUUUUUUAGUUUUUAAAAAAAAUCAUAUUAGUACAUAUGUGCAGUAUAUGAUGAUUACAUUCCUUACAUGGAGUUGAUACAUGUCCAUAACACGUUUUAAUUUUUUCACCCCCUUUCCUUUCUCUCCCUUUGUACUCCCUCCAUCUCUUGAUUCCGUUCCCAUUUAAGAAAGAUCUAUCUUCCUCCUUUCUAUUGUCAAUCUUUUAUUUUGCACUUUAUUUAUAUUUUAAGUAAAAACCAUAUGACACUUAAACUUGUGUGUCUACUUUAUUUAACUUAGCAUUAUCCAUUUCCCUACAAAUGACCUGUUUGUGCUUCCUUAUGGCAGAAUAGUGCUCCAUUGUGUGUAAAUGCUACAUUUUCUGUACCCAUUCAUCUGUUGAUGAACAUAUAGGCUGCUUCCAAGAUUUAGCUACUAUGGAUUGUGCUGCUAUAAAUAUGGAUAUGCAUGUAUCACUGUAACAUGCUGCUUUUUGGGGAAGACACCAAGAAGUAGAGUAGCUGGAUCAAAUGGAAUUUUUAGUUUUAGUUUUUUGAGGAAUCUCCAUACUGAUUUACAUGGUGAUUGCAAUAGUUUACAUUCUCACCAAAAAUGAAAAAAGGUUCCUUUUCCGCACAGCAUCACCAGCAUUUUUAUUAUUUGAUUUUUUGAUGAUGGCCAUACUUUCUGAAAUAAGAUUAUAUCUCAGUCUUGUUUUAAUUUGCAUUCCAGUAAUGGCCAGCAGUGAUGAACAUUUCCUAAUGUAUUUAUUGGCCAUUAGUAUGUCUUCUGAGAAGUGUCUAUUCAUUUCAGUUUCCCAUUUUUUCAUUGUGUCUUUUAUUUGGGAAGUGUAACUUUUUUUUGAGUUCUUUAUAUAUUCUAGAUAUUAAUCCUCUGUGUGAGGAAUAGCUGACAGUUUAAGAGAAUAUAUAAAGAGGAUGUGAAGGAGGUGAAAAAUCCUAAUUUCUGGUAGAAUCCUUUCCUGAGAUUUAUUCUGAGCAUUAUAAAAUGAUACUUUAAGAAGAAGUAAUAACAUAAUGCCUUUCCUUUAUUGAAGCACAUUCUAUUCUGCUAAAUUCCCUUUAGGAAAUAACAUUAGGACCAUUUGAAUCAAAAUUAAAUUGCAGAUACAUCUGGGGUAAAAUUUACCAGCUGUUGAGUGAAGGAGCUGUAUUUUUUAAUAUUUACUUCUUAUAUGAUUGUAUAAUUUAUAAUUAUUAUAAAAUGUUAAGAAAGCAGAGAGUAAGCAGAAAACAUCCAUAAUCCCAUUACAUUGAAACAACCAUUAUUAACAAAUUUUUAGAUCACCUUCAAGUGUCUUUGCUAGACUUUAACAUAAUUGUGCAUAUAUUUCAUACAUAAGGUUGUAUCUUAUUUUUAAUUCAGUAUUAUUUUUUAAAUUUUUUCCAUUAAGUUUAUUGGUACAUUUUAGGUAUAAAAUACAGUUACAUUCAUCAUUGGGAUCUUGUACCUUUACAUGAGUAUCUUGGUUCUUAUUUUUUUCUCCUUCCCCUGCCCUCCCUUCAACCCCUCUACCCUUCCCUAUUUGCAAAGACUGUUUCCCUUUUUUUCCUUUUCUCAUAUAUUUUCUUUUCCCUUCUUUCCUUUCCCCUACCCCUCCCACUUCCCCUACUCCUUUAGACCUUUUCUUCCUAUGACACAAUCUCAAUUAUACAUUUUUUAAAUUACAAUAUCAAGAUCUAGGAGACAUUACCACAUAUUUUAUAGAAUUUAAAAGGAUAUAGAAGGCAUAUUACAAAAAUCUUUUUUGAAAUAAAUUUGACAACUUCUAAGAAAUACCUUGGAAGACAAAUUAAUGAAACUAUGGAGGAAAUAUAAAAUUUGAAUAGCAACUAUUAAAGAAAGUAUAUUCCCAGCUUGAAAACCUACCUUUAUGACAACAGCAGACUCAUAUACAUUUUAACUGAUAAAUUAUAUCAAACAUUUAAAGCAGAAAAAAGAAGGAACACUUCUCCCCUCAUUUUAGGAAAUCAACGUUGUACUAAUACUAAAACUGGAUAAAGAUAAUAGAAGAAAAAAAGUAUGAACAUACAUAAAAAUUUGUUUAACAAAACAAACUAUUAGCAGUCAGAUUUGGCAGUAUGUAGAAAGUGGUUUUGUUAUAGGGAUGGCAGUGUUGGUUCAGCAUUGGAAGAUCCACCCCCAAAAGUCAUCAUUUUAACAGAGGACAGGAAAAAGCCAUAUGAUCCUGUCAGUAUUUGGAAAAAAAGUAUUGGAUUAAAUUCUACAGCUGUUCAUGGUAAAAACUAUCAGGAGACUAGAAGUAGAACAGUACCUUCUCAACAGAUCAAAGACAUGUACUCCAUACUUCCAGCAAAAACGCCUUAUAUAAAUGGAGAAGAUACAAUGCUUUCUCCCUAAGGUGAGGAACAAGGGAAGAUAGGCCUAUUCUUCAUCUGUCCAUUAAACUUUGAAACAUAGGCCCAAACCAAAAUAGUCUGGCAGGGCCGGGGAUUUAGCUCAGUGGUUCCGCUGCCUGCCUCGCAAGGGGAAGGACCCAAGUUCAAUCCCCGGUACCAAAAAAAAAAAAAAGGGAACUGAAGCUCAGGCCAGGGAUUUAGCUCAGUGGUUCUGGCGCCUGCCUUGCAAGGGGAAGGACCCAAGUUCAAUCCCUGGUACAAAAAAAAAAAAAAAAAAAAUCAUCUGGCAAUAAAAUGAAACAAUUAGGAUAGGAUUGGCAAGGUAGAAGUAAAAUCUUUAUAUUCUUUAUAUGUAGAUGAAAUGAUCAUCUACAGAGAAAAUGCUAAGAAAUCUCUAGGAGCCCCUAGAACUUGUAUUUGAAUUUAGCAGGAUUAGAAAACACAGGGUAUAUAUAAAAGUUCAGGUCUAUGUAUACUUGCUAUAAAUGAAGAAUUGGAUAUUGAAAUUUAAAAGUUAUGUAGAAGUACACAGGACCUAGAAAAGUAAAAAGAAAAAAAAAAACAGUGUUUGAAGACAUUUAGUACCUAAUUUUAAGACUUCCUCUAAAGCUACAGUAAUCAAGUCAGUGUUGGUGUAAGGAAAGACAUAUAGAUCAUUGGAAUAAAACAGAGAAUCUAGAAAUAGAACCACACAUAUAUGGUCCACUGAGUUUUGAAAGAUUAUUUAACAUUAAUGUUUUAUAGAACAUAAACUCAAUUCAAGAGCAGAGGAAAAGAUAGUGUUUUCAGCAAAUGACACUAGAAUACCUGGUAUCCGUAUAUAAAAAAUUAACCUCAACCCUUUAUUUCCAUACAUAAAAAUAUCUUGAAAGGAUCUAUGAACUUAAAUAUGAGAGAUUAAAAAAAAGAAAUUAUCAGGGAAAAUGUUUAUGAAUUUAGGGUAGGCAAGAAUUUCCUAGGAUAGAAAAAACAGGAUGUAUAAAGGAAAAAAAUUGAUAAAUGAGAUUCCAUUAAAAUUUAGAACUUUAAAUGACAUCAUUAAGAAAAUGAAAAGUAAUCCUUAAACAGACCAUAUUUACAAUGCAUAUAACCUAUGACCAGAAUAUGUAAAGAACACUUGCACCUCAUUAAUAGACAACUCAAUUGAAAAGUAGACACAAGAAGAUGAUAAAUAGCCAGUAUAGCACAGGGAAAGGUGUGCAACACUAGAAUCAGAAAAAUACUAAUCAGUACAAUAACAAGAUUGAAUUAUACACUCAUUAGGGAGAUGAAGUUAAAAGUUUUAAAAGAACAAAUGUCAGCUUAGGUAUGAACCAAUUAGAACUUUCUAAUACUGCUAAUGUGAAUGUAAAAUGAUAAAACCAUUUUGGAAAAUAAUAUAGAAAUUUCUUGUAUUACUGUUAAGAACCAACAGUUCUGUUCUUAAGUUUUUACUUGAGAGAAAUGAAAACACAUGUUCACAAUAGAUUUGUAUAUACAAGUUGACUAUCCCUUAUCUGAAAUUCUUGGGACCAGAGUGUUUCAGAUUUUCAUUUGAAAUCCACUUGAUCUACAAAGAGGAUAGCUACUUCUGCUUUUUUUUUUUAUUCCUGUCACGUGGAGUAUUGUUUUCUACCCUUUUACUUUCAGUCUGUGAGUUUCUUUUUGAAUUAAAUGUGUUUCUUGUAUGCAGCAUAUUGUUGGAUCUUGCUUCUUGACCCAUUCUGCCAGUCUAUAUCUUUUGAUUGGUGAAUUGAGACCAUUAACAUUGAUGGUUAUAACUGAUAUGUAUUGACUUAUCAUUGUCAUGACUUUUUCUAUUUGUUGGAUUCUCUCCUUUUACAUUUAAUUUCUUGUCGUGCCCAACAGAUUCAUUCUGCUGGGCCUCCUGGGGUUGUGAUCCUCAUUGUCUUUUCCUAGGAUAUUGACUAGAAUUUUUUUUGGAGUGCUGGUUUGGUAUUCAUGAAGUUCCUAAGGUGCUCUUUGUCAUGAAAUUAUCUUAUUUCUCCAUUAAUUUUGAAAGAUAGUUUUGCAGAGUACAUCAAUCUAGGUUGGAGGUUGUUUUCCUUUAGGGCUUGAAAUAUAUCAAUCCGAACUCUUCUUGCCUUGUGGGUUUACAUUGAGAAGUCUGCUGUGAUUCUGAUGGGCUUUCCUUUGUAUGUGAUUUGUUUCUUUUCUCUCACUGCUUGUAGAACUUUGUUCUUCUGUUGAGUUUCUGGAAUCUUAACAACCAUAUGCCUAUGUGUAGAUUUUUUUUGAUCAUGGCUCCUUAGAGUCCUAUAUGCCUCACUUAUCUGUAUGUCAAGUUCUUUUCCCCUCCUUGGGAAGUUUUCUGCCAUCACUUCUGUGAACAGUUUUUUUUUUAUGUCAUCUGUACUCUCUUUUCUUUCUUCAUUGACUCCAAUCAGUCUUGUGUUAUUCUUCUUUGCAUCAUCUAGCAGCUGCUAGAUUGAUUUCUCAUCGUCCCUUACAAUUUUAAAGAAAUUUUUCUUUUCCUGGUCACUAAUAGCAAUCUUCUAUAUCUGAAAUUCUGUCCUCACAUUGGCUCAUUCUGCUGCGUAGACUUUCAGUGGAGUUUUUAAUCUCCUGGAAAUCUGUUUGUAUCUGUUUUAUGGAUUGUGUUUGUUUCCUAUGUUGGGAUUCUAUCAUGUUCCUCAGCUCCUCUAUUUUUUUAUCUGUGCCCUCUCUAGAUUUAUUAAUCAUGUCUUUCACUAAGGGCACAAUCUCUGCUGUUAUCUGAGAAAUUAUUUCUGAUUUCAUUUUUUCCAGAUCCUCUUUUGUUGUCAGUUCAGGGAGUCCAGGGGGUUGAGUAUCAGAUUGUUCCAUCUUGUUUCCCUUUGGGGUUGUUUUAGUUGAUCUGUAAGUCUGGUUUUGAAACUUGUUUAUGUAUCUUCUCAUUUCAACCAGGGGUGGGGAGGCUGGGGGGGGGGUGUUGCUGGUACCCAUGUGGCUCACCUCCUCUGUGCUGGUGGGGGUGGUACGGUGGCCCAGAAGCUUCGUCCUAUGCACUGGGAAUGGCUCUAAAUUCAAUAUUACAAUAAAUACCACCUGGUGCAACUACAAAAUCUUUAUCAAUAUCACAAUAAUAUCUUAAUAUUCUAUCAUAUAAAACUCCAAGAAUUUAUAUAAUUAUCCCUGCUAAUAAGUUACUUCUACUAUUUAAGCUUUUAUAUAUCUUUAAAUAUGCUCAUUUCAGCAGCACAUAUACUAAAACUCCUUAAAGUAAGAACUAUGAUACAGCAGAUCAAAUUGUUAAUUUUAAGGAAAUUUUAAAUAGGCAAUAAUUUCACUCUCCAAGAAACUGCUUUUAAGACAGCUACUAAUUACUAAUGGCUAUGAAAAUCAUAUUAGAAUCUCUAAGUAGUUUUUGCAGGGUUUAUUUUGGAGUUGCCUCAAAAUAAAAGUUCUAAAAUUUAAUUCUAAAGUGUGUAUAUUUAGUUUUGCUUGAGCUUGUUAAAACAAUGGUGUAUAUAUAAGGAACAAAGCAAAAUUAUUUCAGUUUCCUAGCCUAGAAGUAAGCACUGUAAACACUUGGGAAAUAUAUUUUCAUAUGUAUCUAUUUAUCUGUCUCUUUUUCUUUCUUAUUCUUAGUCUUUCUCUUUCCAAAGUGAAAGAAAAGGAAUCUUACUGUUUUGUAAUCUGCUGUUUUUAUUUAACAUUAUAAUAGUUAUAUUUUCAUAUUAAAAAUAUAGAUCUACAAUAUCUUGACAGCAAGAUUUUACUCCAGUGUAUGGAUAAUAUAUUGAUUUAAUCAUUUAUUGAUGGACACUUGAGAGGCUUAGAAGCUUUUUCUUACUAAAUAAUGCUACAGUUACUGUCUUUACACAUAAGCAUGCAUGCAUUUUCUUAAAUGUAUUUAUCUGAUUAUUUCCUUAGGAUAAGUCUAAAGCAGUGGAACUACCACGGUAAUAUGUAUACAUUAAUAAACUGUCUUCCAGUAAAGUUGUGUCAAUUUAUACUUGCACCAACAAACAAAAAAAAUACUGCCCAAUUUUUCUGCAUUUUCACUAAUUCUCAAAUAUAACUUUUGUCAUAUAAAUGAGUAUUUUCAUGUUGGGAGUAUGAGAUGUAUUUUCCAGGCAUAAAACUAAAAUGUGAAAUUUAAAGAACAAUAUAUUAAAUUUUAUUAUGUGAAAAUAAAUAUUGCUAUGGCAGAAAAAUAUUUUUAAACUGGAAAAAAUAUUUUUGACAUAUCUCAUAUCUUGAGUGGUUAUUAAAUCAGUAAUUAAAAUGUUUACUAGUAUUUUCUAGAUUUGUCACCUUCCAUUAUUUAUUAAAUGUUUAUUAUUUUAAAGAAAUUAUUUUAAUUACUUAUAUUACCUUCAAUCAUUUUAUUAAUUUAAAAAUUUUUAAGACUUUAAUAAAAUCUUUGGAAAGGACACUCGCACUUGCACAGACUAACAAAUAUUUGGUUGAUUAAUCUCAUUCUUUGUUGCAAAGAUUUUGCUACCUGAAGUCCUUUAAACUGUGCUUCUUAUGCUCCAAUGGCCACAUUCACCCUCACAGCGCUCCCUGGAGAGUGUUGUGUGUAGUAAACCACCAGUCAGGGGACCUAUGGAGUUUUUGAGCAGGAGCUUAGUACUUUCUGCUUGCAUACACUUAAUGUUGAUCUGGCAUCACCAUCCUCCAAAGCGUCAGGUAAAUUGCUCACUCACAUAAAUGUAAGAAUGCCCAUCCUGAGCUCUGCCAUCAGACCUCAGCUUCAGUAAAUUAUCAGGGAGGGAAAACACGCACACUGGUAACAUUGCCCAAUACAUGUCUCCAGGGCAGGAUUGACGCUAUCCUUCUACCAGAAGUAGAUAGAGAUUUUUGGACGUUCUCAUAAAUAAAAUGCUAGAGGCUAUGUCAACAAUGUCCUUCACUUUUCCCCCUCUUUCUGUGACUCCCAUGUGUAUUACUACAUACUUAAUGAAAUGAAAUAUUUUUCAGCAACUUCAGGGAAAGUGAAAGACGCUAGAGAAGCAGAAAUGCCAGGCUGACAGCAUCACGCUAGCAUCCACAGUACAAACUGUAAUAGAGUGUCUUCCUUUUGCUUUAGGACAGGGAGCAUCUGGGUUCUCAGACUUCUUUCAUUUUUCUCAAAGGUGCAGAAGUUGUAUAAGGCUGUUCUCAGUUUGUUGUGGUGGUUUAAAUCUAAAAUGUCCUGGAUGCUUCUUGUACUCAUAGGUGGUUUUUUAAGGUUAUUGGCUUAUGGUGGCUUAUAGCUGACUUGCUGUUAGGAGAGUGUGCUGGGAAGAGGGGGUCAUUGGGGUGUGCCCUGGAAGGACAGAUCUCCCUCCCCACCUUCUCCUAUACACUUUCUCCUUCCUGUUCACCACACCAUGAGCAGCUCUCCUCUUCCAUGCCCCUCUGCCAUGCAGUUCUGUCUUAGAGCCAGCCAACUAUGGACUGAAACCUCUGCAAACAGAGAGCUAAAAUAAGCCUUUCCUCCUUUAAGUUGCAGGUGUCAGUUAUUUUGUUGUACUGAUGAGGAAAGUGAUUAAGACAGUAGUAGUUGGAGCAUUCCUUAGCACAAGAAGUUCAGUUGCAGAUGAUAAAUGAUGGCAUGUGCUCCAGGGUAUUCUUACCCCUUUUGGCAGAAAAUUAUGUAUGUGAAAGUACUAUGUGUCUUAAGUCCAUAAGCAGUGUCCACAAAGGAAGCAGAACCAGAAGAGAGAUGAACAUAUGAAAAUUUUGUGGCAGUUCCUGGAGGCCAACCUAAAGCUGAGGAUGGGAGUGACCAAACCAAGCCUAGUAAAUGGCUUGUUACUUACCUGAGCAGUCAAACCCCGGAGGUGUGAGCAUAUUGUCAUGAGCAUGCCUACAUGCUGUGAGUGGCACUGUUAGAGACCAGGAGGCUGGCUCUGGAGACUGAAUGUCCCACUUUCUUAACCCCCACAGAAAACUUUACAUAUUAUACACCUGUUCUGUAACAUAGCUUGUAUUCAGAGGCAAAUAGAACACAGAAAUGAUGACUAACAUUGUUACUAAUAUCAUGAGUGUUCCUUAUGUAUAUUUUUUCAUCCUUUUCUUUUCUUUCCCAUACAUGGCUGUCUGUUCAAAGCUGCAGUUGAGUGUGUAUAUGUGUGUGCAGGUAUAUAUAAGAUAUAUAACUCAUACAUAAACAGCUUACUUAGUCAUGCCGCUAAGAUGCUUGCAGAGGCAAGUUGUACAAGAAGACUUUGUAGUGAUAAAAUUAAGAUCUUAGGUCCAUUUAGUUAUUUAAUACACUCUCUGUCAUCUUUGUUAUUUCUUAUUCCUUCCAAUACAGAGAAUUGAAUACAAAUUAGGCACUGGACAUAUCUACCUACCCUUAUGCAAAAUAAUUCUUUUUAGAUAUUUAUUUUGAACAAGCCUCCCUGCUUAUUACAGUAUGGAAGGCUAAAAUGGGUUCUACCUUUAGUUUACUCUUCAUAUAUUUCUACACUUUUGGGCACGUGAAGAAAAAUUAUCAACUCUAAUUUAAAAUUGACCCAUAUUUUAGACAAGAAAAGUAUGUGUCUCAUGAUAGUGUAUGAGUGAAACAUAUGGCAGAUCCUUUAAUGGUGUCCUUGAGUCCAGUCCUUACCAGCCUGAUCAAUGGUACAUAAAGAAAGGUAAUGGGAAAUCUCCAGUCUAAAUAAUUCUGGGAGAUUUUUUUCCCUGCUUUUACCUAUCACUACCAUGCUUGAAUAAUGUCCAAUACAUUAGUUCUUCACCCAUAGCAUCCAUAGUCCUCUAGUGCUUUCACUGAAAUUAAAAUCUUAACACUACUUACCUUUUGCAAUUUGCAUAAAGUCUGUUGAUUGGUUGUCUGUACACUGUCCACCUAUUUACAAUGAACCAGGGUAUUCCUAGCAAUCAUUAACAUUAUUGCAUUUGUCAUCUUUCCUGUCACUGGACACAGUACCUAACACCCACAGCUUAAAGGAGGAAAAGUUUAAUUUAGUUCACACUUUGAGGAAAUUCAGUCCAUAGCCAUAUGGCUGCAUGGCAAGAAUAUCAUGUCAGAAGGGCAUGGCAAAGCAAUGCUGCUUAGUUCAUGGCAGCAAGGGACCAGAGCAGGGGAACAGUGACAAAGAGGAAUGGGCAGGGGACUGCAUGUAGUAAAAAAGUCCAUGCCUCCGUGACCAACACAUAUACACCCCAGAAACAUGCUCUACUAAUCUGCCAGGUGUUUCUUAAUCCAGUGAAGUUGAUAUAUUAGGAUUAACAGUCAGUUUGUCACUUGUCAACUUCACAAACAAACACACCACCCUAAACCACACUUAUUCUCCAAAUAAAUACAAUAGCGAGUUCAUAAUUCUACCUAAAAUAAUACAACUAUCCUGUGUACAGCCAGAAACACAAUAAUUCCCUUGCCAAAGUCUCAACAGUUCCAGCAUUUUUCAGAAGUCCAAGUCCAAGUCUCUUCUGGGACUCAAGGCAAACUCUUAACUGUGACCUCUGUAAAAAUAAAAAACAAGUUACAUAAUCCCAAGAUAUAAUGGCACAGGGUAAACAUUUUCAUUCCAAAGGGGAGAAGUAAGGGGAUAGAAAAAAAUCAGACCAAAACUAGACUAAAACCCAGCAGGGCAAACAUUAAAUCCUGUAGCUCCAUGUCCAGAAUCCAGGAAUAUAGUGGUAAAAUAUGAGUUUUAAAGGGCUUAGGUAGCUCCACUCCUAUGCCCUUGCUGGUUGCAGCCCCUGAGGUUUCUCUCUUGGGCUUUCCUUGGCUCAUGUUCUACAUUCUGGCAUCUCUGACGAUCUCUAGUUUCCUCUAAACCUUUGGCUUCAUUCACGUAGCUUCAUGCAUUGCCCUCUCAGAGGCUCCUUGCUUGGCCUCCAGGCUUUCCUUUGCAAUCUGAGUGGCAGCUUCCUUAAUCCCACAACUCUUACAUUCUCCAUGCCAGUAAAGCCACCAUCACAUGGAAAAUCAAAAAUCUGCUAUCAGCAGAAGCAAUAGCCAGGCCCCCUUGGAUCGUGGCUGCAGCAGCCUCAGAGUGCCUGUAUGGCUGAGUGCAGUGAAAUGAAUCUCAGGGAAUCACUACCUUAGGAGGCCUUUCUCAGACAGGGAUCCCAGGGACUCUCCUAUCAAAUAAAAGACUGAUAUUUUUACAUGCUUGAGCCUGCUAUGGUGAGUUCUUCUGAUUCUUGAGAUGUCCUCAAGGUGUCUUUCCUCUUGUCCUUGUACAGAGUACUUAGUUUCUUUUUAAUAGUGAUAAUCUCUUUAGCAGCCACAUCUCCUUUGGCCCAAAUGUACAUCUGUUUCCUUAUGGGCCAAAUUUUACAUUUUUACAUAUUUUCUGCUGUGCCUUUUGCCCCCAGUUCUCACUACAAAUCUGGCUAAAAGCAGUCAGUGGUAAUCAAACCUCAGCCUAUAUUGGGUGUCCUAAAAUUUACUCUGCCAGAUUAAUUAGUCCACCACUCUUUAUCUCAGCCUUCUGCAAAGUCUCAAGACAUAGGCAUAUAUUCUGCCAGAGGGUAACACACAUGUGCUCUAGUCCAGCUGCCAAUGAAGUUCUUGUUCCAUUGAGACCUCCUGAGCCUCACCUUUACUGACUUCAUGCUGUGAGCAUCCUGGUCAUCUGAGCUCCAACCAAAGUCACCCAUUAAUCACCCCUAGCAGUCUAAGGUUUCUCUAGCCCACUUCUCCAAAUCUUUCCAAACUCCUUGUGUAAACCAAUCUCAAAGGCUUCCAAGCCACAUGGUCAAGUACAAUCAUGAAAACAACCAUGUUCCAAUUUCUGAAUUAGUCAAUUUUUCCGUCUCUGGGUACAAUACCCGACAUCCACAACUUGAAGAAAGAAAAGUUUAAUUUAGCUCAUGGUUUGGAGAGUUCAGUCCAUAGUUAGCUAGCUCCAAGGCAGGACUAUUAUGGCAAAGCUGCUCAGUUCAUCACAGUUGGGGAACAUACCAGGGAAUCAGCACCAGGGAGAAAUAGGCAAGGGACAAUAUAUAUAGUAUCCAAGGCCAAUACCUCUGUGACCCACCUAGACACACCCAGGAACACACUUUACUAAUAUUCUAAGUGUUUUUUAAUCCAAUGAAGUUGACAUGUCAGAAGUAACAGUCACAGUUACUCAUCUAGAAUAAGUUCCAAGGCCGGCCACUUUGUGGCAAGCUAUAUGUUUACCACUACAUCCCAUAUGUCUAAUGUACAUGGGAAAGAGUUUCAGGCAUGUAGGCUUAUAUCCAGAAAACUACAUCAAAUAUCUGAAUUCUAGUGCAGGAAUCCAAGAGAAAUAUUAUUGGACACUACUAUUUGGAGCCUUUCUCUUUAUCCAGGUAACAAAGAACAACAGCCAAAACACUUUGAAAAAUCUCUUUCAGUACACUUUAAUGUUUGAUUCUGGCUUAUUCCUUCUUAGAAAAUGGAAAGGUAAGGCUACAUUGAAGUUCCAGAUCAUGCUUUUGCCUAAUGUCUUAGUUUGUUUGUGCUACUAUAACAAAAGAUCUGCAAGUAAGUAAUUUAUAAGCAGAAAUUUCUUUUUCACAGUUCUGAAGGCUAGAAAGUCCAAGAUCUAGGCUUUGGAAGAACUGGUGUAUGAUAUAGGCUUCUCUACUGCCAGGGUGAUGCCUGUUGUUGGAAAAUGCUGUAUCCUCAUGUAGCAGAGGAUGAAUGGCAAAAGGGAGGGAGAUAGCUCCCUCACACCUCUUUUAUAAGGUUGCUAAUGGAUUCAUGAGAUUUUACUUUCAUGAUUAAUCAGGCUUCUGCCUCUUAAUCUUCUCACAUUGGCUACUAAAUUUUAGUAUAUGAAUUUUGGGGACACACUCAGACUAUAGCACCUUGUAAGAAAUGAAUGUAUAAUUUUUCAUUAUUUUGUUAAAAUAAUCUUUCAUUAAGUUCAACAUUUCUCAUUUUUAUUCAGGUAAGGACUGACAGAGAGAUUCGUUAGAUAAAAGAAUUCUGUAGAGGUAAUCCCCCAAAUGGAUACAGACUGCAAAACAGGAAAAGAUGCAGAUAGAGGCCAAACAUACAGCUGAGAACUGUGUGCACCUUAGCUGCAAGAGCCACCCUGGAAUCAGUUAGGCCUUAGUUAAAAUGAAAAAAAAAACAUGCACUCUAGAUAUUCAUCCAUUUUUAAAAUUGUGUAGAGUUUUAAUUUCUUCUGAUCUCUGAGAAAAAUUAUUGUUGUAAAAGUAACUUGGUAUAUGAAGAUAAUUUCCCUACAUCAUAGUCAGAUCAUUACAUGAGAACAGUAUAUACCUUGGCAGACCACAUUGACUUGAAGACCACCUGAGAAAUAGGGAAAAUAAACUGAAUGAUGCAAGAAGUCGAAAAUUAGGACCACUGUGUAUAUGAGACUUUGUUGUCUUCCAAAAGCUACCCAAAGUUAGUCGUAUUUUUUCUUUCUCAACAAAGAGCAUUAGUAAACUUAAAGAUCAAAGCUUCUCUUAAGAGUAUCCAUUCCUAGGUCAUCUACCAUGAACUUUGUCAGUGGUCCAGGACUUCAGAGGACUUCUGUACAUGAACAUACAUGUGGAUGGAUAGGAACACACAUACACAAUCUAUUGAUAGGGGCUUUUCUCCUGCCUAUUAGAUCCAUUACAAAUGUGUUUCUAAUGGGGCCUCUCUGCAUUCCAAUAGAAAUAUUUCUGGAGCUCUCCUGGCUCUCACAACAUUUGCUGGGAGCACAUUUAAUAUGUUUUAGCUUUACUGCCUGAAGAUGGAAUCAGGGACAUCUACCUGCACAUGACAGUGCUUUGGCUCUUGCAGUUGCAGAACUUAAUGUAUGUAUCAGUAAUGAAAAUCUUAAUUAAGAAAGCAGCAUCAUUGUCCACGAAUACUCAUUUUUCUCCCCCUGCAAAGUCCUUUGUGAAUUGCAGUAUAUACCUGGUCCAGACAGACAGAGCCCUUGAAGAGCUUGUCUGGCAGAUCUUCUCUUGAUUAUUAACAGCUAGCAAAUGACAAAGUCUCGCUCUCCUUUUGUCUUGAAGCUGAGGCUUGGAACAGCAGAGCACACAAUGUACUAUGGGGGUUGUUUGUGUUUUUUUUAACUUGCCUUUAUUACAUUGGUGGGCUUAAAAAUCUGACAGUGUUGAUCAAAACUAAUGUAGGUAACUUAAAUUUGCCAAAACACUAGCAAAUGCGUAUUUACACAUAUACUCUCAAAUGGCAAUGUAAUUUUCCAUAUAGAAACAGUGUACAAACAUAAGAAGUCACAGUUUUAAGCUAUCUGCCCCUGUUUCUGGUACCUUUAGCCUCUACAGUUUGAAGACUACAAUAUCCCUGUUUUGGUGACCUUAGCCGUUAGUUCUUUCCCUGUACCAAUGUAUGUGUGCCAAUUUGUCGUCUUGCACAAAGAGUAAGAAGCUUUGAAUGAUGAAAUAACUUUUUACAACUAACUGUAUGCGUAAAAAUUGAGACUUGUUAAGAAAGUCUUUUGAAAAGUGACCUAUAAUUAUGUUUAUGAAAUAAUUCCUAAUUGUAAAUUUUAAUAAUGCCCAAUAGUAAUAUUUUAAAUAAAAAUUCCUUUAAAAGCCUCAGAGCAUUUUUUUUAUAAAGUAGCAAUUCCUGCUACUAAUUCUUUUAUAACUUUGAACCAAAACCUACCUAUAGAAAAGAAAAACUCAUAGUCUCAUUGUCUUAGUUACUUUCUUCUUUGCUGAGACAAAAUAUGUGACAUCCCAAGUUAAAGGUUUAUUGUAGCUCACAGUUUGUAAAUGUUUCCAUUCAUAGUCGGCUAUCUCCAAUGCAGGGUGGAUGGCAGAAGGGCAUCUCAGAGGAGAAACAAUUCAUGGCAAGCAGAAGGCAGCAAGCUGCAAAGUAGCAAAGCAGCAAGCAACAAGCCACCACAGCAACCCUCAUUCUGUCUCUUAUAUUAUAUCUGGGCUACACGCCCUUAGGGUGGGUAGCACUCACAGGCAGGUUGGGCUUCCCCAUCAUCCACGCCCAGAACUAUGCCAAACCAAUCAGUGGACUAAUUUAGUAAUCACACACCCUUAAUUCCAGUAUCACACACCUAUAUCCAGCCACCUCCGAAAAGCCCCACCUAUGAUUUCUCUGAACGCAUGAGGCUUUGGGGAGACAUCUAGACAAAAGCCACAACACUCGCCUACUUAUGUCCCAUUCUGUCUUCUACAUUUUGUAAGUUUUUAGUCUGUAAUGUUAACCAUUUUCUGAAAGAUCCAUGUAAAUAACUGAAUCAGGUUCCAGCCAUAGAGUUAUAUAAUGCUUUGUACUGGAGUAGGACACACCCACUUAAGGAUGAUCUGUACUGAAUAUUUAGGACUCCUCUUCUUCAUGCUGUACAUGCACUGUCCGCCCCAAGGAGUGGGGUGGGGAGGAGCAGCCACACUGCCCUGAAUGUUUAAACUUUGGUUAAAUCAUUUACUUUGUGCCUCUGGAACACACACACACAUAAACAGUACUAUCAUGCUUUUUAUUCACUUUGCUCCUUAAAAUUGUACAUGUUUUAGCUUAUUUAUUUUCAGUAUUCCUACAAAACAGGCAAUGAUCAGUUUCCCAUGUUUCUGGAUCAAGAGAAAAUUCAUGUAAAUAUUCUAUUCUCUGUGCAUUAUGAAAGAUAGGAAAGCCUCAUUAUCAAAAAUUGUUUUCAAAUAGUUUGACUUAUUAAAAUCUCAUGGCUGCAUUUAUAACAUGUUUGAUUAAGGUUACAACAUGAAAAAUAAAUAAAAAUAGACUGAAGAUUGUAUAGCAGAAGCACAAUAAGAUGGAGAAAACAGAUAUUGUCAGCGAUUUUGGUUGCUACACAGGAAAACUAUGAGUAGGUUCUUUUACUGUGAAUAAUUUUUUUUUCAAGAAUACAUCUGACUGAUAAUGCUAUACAACCUAAAACAAUUGUGCAGUACUGGGGUUAGAAGUGUGUUGCAAAUUUAUAGCAUAAGAUAUAUAGUAAAAACAUUCAAUAAAUGUUUGAAUAAAACAAAUUCUGAAUGAAUAACAAAGAAUAAAUUAUGUUAGCAUUUCAAAAACAAAACCAAACGAUCUAAUAUUAUUCUUAAUUUUCAGAUUUUUAACUUGGUUAAAAGUUAGAAGUCUUCUGAAUUUUUAUAUGUUGAAUUUCAACUUCUGAAAUAAUAAACAUUCAUACAAUAAUGAAAAAUCUGAAUAUUUAAAAUUUAGGUAUAUAGUUACUUUUGCCUCUGCAACACCUACACACAGCCACAUAUGUAUGUAAAUGAAUACUAGAUCACAGUGGAAAGCAUAUUCCUACUAUGACCAUGAGUAAAACUGUUUGACAAAAACUAUUGCUCACAAUAAGAUCUUCUCACAUUAAACAUAGCUACAGUUUGCUUAAAACUGAAUGACUACAUGAUUAAAAAUGACAGGUCUUCCAAUAGCCUGCCCUCAUGCCAUCUCUCUGCUGAUAACUCAGUGUGUUUUCUAGUCGUUUCUAUGCUUAAAAUAUCAUGUUGUAUAAACUGUGGCCCAGUCCACAAGCUAAGGAAUCAAAUAGGCUAGGGCAAAGAAGUGUCUUGCAACUUUAGGGAAAGGUUUCUAGAAAACAUAUUAGCUUAACUAUAAGGAUGCUCUUCAGUUCAGACCUGGCCACCCUUUGCUCUCACAUGGAAAUACAUCCACUUGCAGUGUUGUAAGUGAUCUUUUCAGCAAAUGUGUGCAUUGGUGAUCCUCCAGAGCAUCAGAGUUAUGAGUGCUUAAUAAGACAUUCAUAAAGCAACCUGCAGCUUGUUAUAUUUAAAUGCCAAUGACUUCCUUAUUUCAAAAGCAAGUGCCUUUAAACAUAGUAAUAACAUUUCUCUAUAUGCAAACCUCUGUACAUAAAAAGGUUUACAUUUUAAAACAAACAUGUUUUUGAGUUUUAUCCAAAUUCAAAAAACACAUCUGAAAAAUUUAGCAGCUGAAAAACACUUUCUCCUUGCUGGGAAAACUUAAACCUCGCUAGGCUUUAUGCAACUUUAAAAAAACACUUCUGUGCUGAGAACUAGCAUGAGAAAUCUCAGCAUGAAAGGUUGUUGGAAUUUUUUUUUCUAUGAAGAAUUGAAACCAAUUGUUGGGUUUAAAAUGAUACCACAAUAUACAUAUUCUCUGUGAGGAACAAAAGAUUUUUCAUCAAAUAUAAUUUCAAGGGCACCUUCAACAAAAUUUAGAGGGGGGGAGAUAAAGGCUACUUAAGCAGUAAUCCAGUGUCUGAAAGCAAAGGUUGAGGACAUCAUUGUAUCGUCAAGGUCUGGAAACACUGCUAACCCUGAUCUGGUUGUUACCAUUUGAAAAGCCUAUGGGUAUUUGUUUUAUUAUUGUCUCACUCAAUCCUUACUUAGCCAAGAGUGUCUCACAAGGGAAGCACUGCUCUGUGAUGGUGUUCUGGACUUUGUUUUCUAUUUGUUUCCGCACUUCAAUAAAUGGUCUCUUACCUGCCAUUAUGACCUACAUGCAUUUGCUGAGCAGUUUUUUGUUGUUGUUGUUGUUUUGUGGGGAUUUUUUUUCUGAGCAGUUUUUCAAAUCAAAUAAAGUUAUGUGGCUGUAUUUCUAGAAAGCUGAGCCAUUCUCACAACAGUAAGGAAUUGUAAACAUCCAUAGCACUAUAUGUUUGUACUGGGAACAUAUGUUCGGGCAUACUCAGAAAAUAAGAAAAUAGGCUGGUCAAUACAAAUAGGAAGGUAUAACCUGUUCAUAACAUUUAUAGCCCAUGCUCCUAACAACAUAUAUAUGUAGAAAUGACUUUGUGAAGAAGACCCACAGAAGCGUGUUCCUCUUAAUACUCUCUCAGGAAUAAAGGACACAAAGUAAUUUUUAAAAUACCAUACUGGCUACUUUUAAAAUGUAAUGUAAGGGUAGUGACUUGGGGUGUCAUAGAUGGGAAAAGAGACAACAACAUACCUCUAGUAUUGACUUGGUGAUUUUUUUUAUAAGUCCUUCCUUGAAGACAGGCUUAGAUAUUUCAAGACCUCCUUAGAGAAAUUUUUCAGCACCUUCUGUGCUCCAAAUUGAGUCAGUUUCCAUCGUAUUUCAGUAUAACUGAGUAACAGGCUGGCAAAUUCCCUGCUUUCCUAUUCACAAAAGUCUAAAAUAAAACUGACAAAAACUCCUUUAUCUCUCCCACCCCUUCAGAAAACACCCCACUGUGCCACUGUGCCCUCUCUCCCCCAAGAAAGGCACACACACACACACACACACUCACACACACACACACACACACACACACACACACCAGUAAAUAGAGCUAGCCCUGAAAGACAAAUUCCCAGCUGUAACUCUUGCACUUUGCUCAGUACUGUGAGCUUGAUAACACUGGCACAUUUUUAUACUAUACAUGCAUAAAUGUACUGGGAGGCAGAGGAAUUGCAAUGUCCCCUUUGGUGUUUCCUGACUCCCUUGGUCUAAAGUAUGUUGCACAGGAGUAGCCUAACCAGCUUCACAAUAAAAGACUCAAUUUACCAUCUCAUUUGUUUUUCUUAAAAUGCAGCCUGUGACUUAAUUUUUCAUAAAGUUUGUAUUAAACUAUCUUUUUCAGAAUUUCAGAACUUUCUUCCCAAUAUGGAUUUUCAGAGGCUGUGUCUCACUCUCACACAUAUACAUUUGCACGCACACUUGCAGAUUACUUCUAAUAUAUAAAUCUGAACUUCUUCCAAGAUUUUGUAAAGUAUGUGUGUGCAUGUUUGAUAAUGAAGGUAAUCAAACUAUAAAUAAUUGUUCAAAGCCAAGAUAGAUAUUAAUUUUUUGAGCCAUGAGAUAUGCAUUUUUGACAGGUAGCUUAAUUUGUGGAAUACCUCCUUUAAAAUCAUUUUCUAGAAUAAAAUUUUUAAAUAAUAUUGAUUAAAGUGAAAGAAAGGAAAAAUCCAUAUAAAGGUCCAGUUAAACAUUCAAAAUUGGAUCAAAGUUUGGCCCAAAAUACAGAUCUGCCUCUAAAAGAUAAAAAUUAGACAGGCUGAAGUCUAUGCAAAAGAACUCAAGGUACAAAAGCCAUUUUUAGUAGCUCACAGAUGAAUCUUAGAGAUUCAGACCGUGUUUAUUAAUUCAUCUUUAAGCUUCAGUUUCUUUAGCUAUCAUAUAAGAAUAGUAACUCUUAUGAUAAUGCUCCCUAAAGGUGGUAAUGGGUCAGAAAUAUUGUAGCAUUGGUAGUAACUUUGGAGAUGGAGAUGAGGCAUACUUAAGUGUUAUUUAUGGCAUGUUUCUGAGUACAUAUGUCAUGUUUCUUUACAACCACAUUUAAUUAUGCAAUCAAUGUUUGUUUUUUCAAAGUGACAUUUAUUGCACACUGACUGUACAUCAGGCAGUGUGAUAGGCACUUGAUACACCUGAUCUCAUAUAAUCCUUACAACAGUCCUCUAAGUUACCUUUAUUAUACCCAUUUUUCAGGUGAGGGAGUAGAAGCAGAGAAAACAUCAGCAGUUCCCAACAGAUAGAUAAGGAGGUACUGAGGGAGUCAGACCCUGAACCAAACAGUCUAAUCCUAAACUAACCUAGGAAAAUAAUUAUAAAUAAACAAAAUUCAUUGUACACAAAAUAUUUAAUUGCAAAUAUAUACAGAAGUAGAAACAGUAUCAUAGGAAAACUCAUGAGUUCCUUGCUGUGCUUUGUAAAAAUUAUUAGCUCCUGGCAAAUCUUGUUAUAUUUAUGUUGUAAGAAGUCCAUCUCCCAGGGAGAGCUUUAGUGUAGUAUAUGUCCACUACAUACAUUUUUGAGACAUUAAAAUGUUUAUGAAGAUCUUAUAGAAUGGACUGUUUCUGCUGCACAUUAAAUUGAAAGACAAUGUACAUGAUUAUGCAUAUGAUACAGUCACAACUAUUUUCUAAAAAUGAGAUUCUAAAUUGUCAAAAUAUACUAUUUAAAAUUUUUGUAUUACUACUUUCCUGUAUUUUCUAAAUUGUAUGAGUAUACUUUAUUUAGGAAAUAAUUAGUUUCCCUAAUAUUCAGAAAAAUAUAUAGAUGUCUUCAUAUAUAAAGAGAGAAUUUAUUUACCUGACUUCAUUGUGGAAGUUGGGUUUAUGUAAUAGAAUCUUCUACAUAGUAGAGUUUAUCCCCUCUUAAUUAUCAAUAGAUACUUCUUAUUUUGUUCAUUUUAAGUUUUGAUGUAUUGCAUCUUAAAUUUAUAUACAUACCUAGUUUUCAUAGAAUACAGUUAACAUAAUUUAAACUUUUCUAAUGAUUUGGGGUUAUCAUUUGGAUUAAUAUUGUACUAUAUUUAUAUUAUGCUGAUGAGGAUAUGAAAUUAUAAAAAUAAUGUUGUAUAUUUGAAUAUUAUUUUGUAGUCUCCAAGCUGUUACGUGUGACAUUAACCAGUUGGUCCUUAUUCUAUUAAAUUAUUUGCUCCCUUGCUUAUUUACCCCUGAACUGCUAUAAUAUUUUUUACACUCAUGUAUUUUUAGGGUUCUUAUUUAUCUUCAUUAGCUAUCAUUUUACUUUUUGUUGUGCAAGUCUCUAAGAUCUUCAUUUCUUUUCUGAUGCUCUACUUCUACUCUGCUUUGGGCAAGGAAAAUCACCAACCAGUUCUGCUUAGGUUGUGUAUAAAGUUCAUGCAUUAACUCAUCACUUGACAAAACUUGUAAACAGUACAGUUGUAUACUCAGCACUGGAGGGGAUACACAGACAAAUAAGAUCCAAAUGCUGCCCCUCCCCCCAAAAAAGUUUUAAUCUAGCAGGAGAGCUGAGACAUGUGCUUACUUUGCUAGAAUUCAUAGUAACAUUGUUAUAUUCCAUAAAAGUAGUACAGAUUAAAAGUAGUUUUGGAGUUCACAGUAGGAUUAACCACCAGAGUGGAUUUGGACCUAAAAGGCAAGGAAGAUGUGAGCAUACAAAGAUGAAAGAAAAAUAUAUUUCUGAAACCAUGAGCAAAGGAUAGAAGAACUGAGGGUUAAUGAAUCUGCAAAGAAGUUGAGUUUAACUGGAGCAUAGAGUCUGAAGGUGAGUAGUGGGAAAUAAAGUGGUUAAAGUAGAGUGCGCCCAGAAAGUGAAAGGACUUGAUUACCAGGUGAAGGAAUGUGGGCUUUAUUCAAUAGGCACUGGGGAGCUGUUCAGAGUUUUCAGUAGGAGAGUAACAUAAUCAGAGCUGUAUCUCCAGAAGAUUAAUCUGGCAACAGUGAGUAAAAUGGAUUGGAGUGGGGAAAAAACCAGAGGACGCAAGCUUAGCUUAGGUAGGAAACUUAACACAAUAGUCCAAGUAGAAGGCAAUGAAGGCCCUAACUAGGACAGGGGCAGAGGGACUGAACUGAGAUAGCAAACUGAUUUAUGGCACAUGGCAGAAGAGAAUUAAUACAUUAUAUUUAGGGAGCAAGUAAGAGGAAGGUACCAAAGAAAUCUCUUUGAUUUUAAACCUGGGUGGAGCCAUUAACAGAAACAGAGGGCAGCUAGCAGAAGCAGACUUGGGAGGGUAAGGCACCAGCUUAAUUUUGAACACACUGAGUGAAGCUGCUGACUGUGUAACCAUGAGAAGCCCACUGGGCUUUUGGAAACAUGAGACUGCAGUGCCUAGAAAGGCCUGGCAUGGAGGCGAGGAUUUUUGAGUUAUCUAUAUCUAACUGGCCAAAGAGGCAAGAGGCAGACUUAUCAAAGUGACUUAAAGGACUUAUGGGUGUCCUAAUUAAUAUGAGUUCGGGGUGCUUGCAGGCUUCUUUUUUUUUUUAACUUUCCACUCUUAACAGAAAGAAAUGUCACACAGGUGGCUUGCAGAUAAGUGAACCAUUGCUUCCUCAAAACAAACGUAAAAUAUUUUCUAAGAUAAUGAAGAAAUUUGGAAUAUAGUUAAUAGGAUCAAUUUCACAUUGUCUGUAGUCUGUACUACAUUUAUCCUCACAUAAAUGUAGUUCUCUGUGACCUUAGAGAAGUCUUACCUCUCUGGUUCUCAAGUCACAUAUCAGAUAAAGGAAGAAAUUGAUUAAGAUCCCUGGUCCCCAUAACUAGCAACAAGCAGCCAAAACCAACAUUGAGUCUGAAUAACAUGGGGAAGGAGGAGAAGAGGGUCAAGGUUCAGGAAUCUAUUUUUUUUAACCUUCCUAUGUGAUUCUGCUCUACAGCCUGAGUUGGAAACCACUGGGUUACAUAAACUCUUAGGUUCAUUCCAACUCUUUCAUUCUAAAGUUUUAUCAAUAUCUACACAAAUUAUGCAUUUUUCACAACUCAUAAGUGAGAAAACAUAUCCAAAAUGCAAAUUUACUGUCAAAUUCCAUUCAUCUAUAACAAAAUACUCCCCCUUUCCCCUUUAGGUUAGAAGGAUGAUGUAUAUUUAAAGUCUAUUUGAAAAGUGCUAUAAUUUAGAAACCUUCUGUGAUAAAUUAUAAAGUGUGAGAGAUAUGGGGCGGGGGUUGAAAAAGAAAGCCUGGGAGGGUGAGACAUAUGCACAGUGCUCUUUUCCAGCCAUCCCCAGGAACUACUCACGUUCCCACAGGUCAAGUUUGCCUGUGCUCUGCAGUUGAUUUCAGUGCUCUCUCUGGCUGUUCUUGCUGAGAUGUGUGUGGUCCUGGUGCUGCUUUUGAUUUUAUCUCUCACACUGUUUUUUUAAGCAUUUCAAAAGAAUCUCUGUGAAAAUCCAGCACAGGUCUUAAGUAGAAUUUUUAAAAAGUGUUGGGCAUAGAAUUCCAAAAGAGCACAUGAGCUGUUUCUUUGAUGGGCUAACCUUUAACAUGCCCCGUUUGUUGUGUUCAGUUUCUAUCCUACAUUCCUAAUUUAAUACUUACAUGGCUCUCAUUAUUACAGCAUUGUUUUAGCAUUCAGGAAACAUAUAUUCUGAAGGCCCCAUCAAAUCUACAGUAUGCUGGACUGGGCAUACAUGAGAAAAGGAGAGGACUUACAUAUCAAUUUUUUCUUUAUUUUCUAUAUUCUCUUGUCCCAUCCUUCCAAUGAGAAUGCAGUUUGCUGAACUUGGCAAGUUGGGCUGGAUUAUCCUAGAGUGUAAAAAUCUGGAAAAUCUGAAUGUUACCAACUUGCAAAUGAAUUUUGAUAGCCCAUUUGCUCAAGAAGUAUUUACUAGGGAGCUACAAGAAGGAGGGAACUGUCUUAAGUUACUUUUCUUGUUGCUGAGACAAAGUGCCUGACACCCAAAGUUAAGGGAGUGAAGGUUUAUUUAGCACGCAGUUUGUAAAGGCUUCAGUCCAUAAUGAGCUGCCUCCAAGGCAGGAUGGCAUGGCAGACAGGCAUCGCCAAGGAGAAACAGUUUGUGGCAGGCAGAAGGUAGCAAAGCAAGCCACAAACUACAAGGAACUAGCAGCAAGCCUCUUUCUGUCUCUUAUAUGGUACCCAGUCUUCUCGCCCUUCAGGCAACUAGCAAUCACACCCUUACUUCUAGCAUUGCACCAAGAAUCACACACUCUAGCUCCAGCUAGCUCUGAAAAAAGCCCCACCUAUGACCACAUGAGGCUUUGGGGGGACAUCUAGAUACAAGCCGUAAUAGGAACUGUGCUCAGUUCUGAAGUCAGGAAUUAGCAGCCAGUUGUAGUGAUUUUGAUUGUGCCCUGGCUACUGCCAAAUUACUACAGUAAUGAUGUCGCAAGUAUGUUACUUGUAUUUACCCCUUAACUGUCUUUUCACUGAAAUAUAUUUGGCAUUCUCAGUUGCCCUUAGAUAAAUCCUUCUCUCACUCUCAUUUGUAUCAACCCAUCCUUCUACUUUUUACCUCCACAGUUAGUUACCCAUUUCCUUUCCCAAGUCGUAUUGCAGCUCCUUCACUUUAAUCAGACUCUGUUAAGUGGUCUAGUAACCUCAUUAAGGUAAUUUACUUCAAGGUAUGAAUGAGACUUAGCUAUCUUGGAAAAAUUUAUAUUUUAAAAAAUAUCUCUUGUUAGACAACUGGUUUUGAUUCACCCUCGACUUAAUGGCAUGUGAAGAGAGGUACAGUGUAUUUUUGAGCAGGGCCAUCAGGUGCAUCCUUUUUGUUCCUGUCCCCCAACACACAAGACUUUAUUUAUAUUUUUUCUUUUUUAAAUUUUUAUUAGUUAAUAUUUGCAGUACAUAAUGUUUACAUUCCUUGUAUGGAGCUUGUCCAUGUGCAUAACACAUCUUAGUACCUUUUUUCAUCCCCUUUCCCUCCUUUCCUCUCCUCCAUCUCAUUUUUUUUUUUUUUUUUUUUUUUGGUACCGGGGAUUGAACUCAGGUCCUUGCGCUAGCAAGGUAGGCAGUGGAACCACUGAGCUACAUCCCCAGCCCCUCCUCCAUCUCUUGAUCCCCUUCCCAUUUGGGAAAGAUCUAUCUUUUUAUUUCCUAUUAUUUUUUACUUUGUUCUUUAUUUAUAAUUUGGAUUUCUCAUAUAAGAAAAACCAUCCAAUAUUUAAGCUUGUGUGACUGCUUUAUUUCAAGUAACAUUAUGCCUUGAAGUGCAUCUAUUUUCCAAGAGAUGACUCAAAUUUAUCUUUCUCUAUGGCAAAGAGGUACUCCAUUGUAUUUAAGUACCACAUUUUCUUUAUCCUUUCAUCUGUUAAUGAACAUAUAAGCUGCUGCCAAGAUUUAUGUAUUAUGAAUUGUGCUGCUGUAAAUAUGGGUAUGUAUGUGUCACUCUAAUAUGAUAUCUUUAAUUCUUUUGGGAGGAUACCAAGAAGGGGAAUAGCUGGGUCAAACGGAAUUUCUAGUUUUAGUUUUUGAGGACUCAGUAUACUGAUUUCCAUAGUGGUUGUAUUAGUUUUCGUUCCCACCAAAAAUAGGGAAAUGUUCCUUUUUCCUUUUUCCUUUUUUUUAUAUCCUCACAAAUACUUGUUACUAUUUGAUUUCUUGAUGAUAGCCAUUCUUUUUGGGGUAUGAUGAAAUCUCAGUAUUGCUUUAAUUUGCAUUUCUGUAAUGGCCAGUAAUGUUGAGCAUUUCUUCAUGUAUUUAUUGGUCAUUUGUACUUUUUCUUGCCCAUGUUUUGACUGGGUCUUUUAUUUGGGUGAAAAAGUUAUAUCUGUGUGCGUGUGUGUGUGUGUGUGUGUGUGUGUCAUUGCUAUUUAUUAUCUCUACUCCCCUCAACAACUUUGAUUUAAAUUCCCUCUACUGUUACCACCUCAGAGGACCUAAUUAUUGAGAGUCAUGUAUUGAUCAGUUCAGUUUCUUGAACAUGAACUUUGUCAGCUACAUUGUAGACCCAAGGAGAUAAUGACCAAAGCUACAUAUUUUAUAAACAAAGACUUAGGACAUAAUUUUAUAAAUAUGAGUGUAUUUGUGGGGAUAAAAGACACAAGUCUUGGCCGGAGAUUAAGCUCAGUGAUUUCUCCACCUGCUGCGCAAGCACAAGGACCUGAGUUCAAUCCCUGGUACCAAAAAAAAAAAAAAAAGACACAAGUCUUAAAAACCAGUCUGUCCCAGGAAAUCAGAAGCUUAUGGUUCUUGUAGCUAUUCUUAGAAUGUGAAUUCCAUAUGCUGGUCAAAGAUGAAUUUCAGAGUCAGAUCGUAAGAAUAUGAUCUCUCUGAUAACUCACUGAAUUAAGAAAGCAGGAUCAAUGACACUGGUAAAAGUUGUCUGCAUUUCAGAAAGGUGUUUUUCCUUGCUAAAGAAGAUAGCAGAGACUUUGGAGUCAUAUCUGGUUUGUAUGCAAAGUUUACCGCAUAAAAUCUAGGGACAAACUCUAGUUUAAUUGCCUUGAUCAAACUAUUUAUUUUAGUAUUAAUUUCCUUAUCAGUAACAGGUUAAUGAUACCCAUCUUGCAGACAUUUUAUGAAGAUUAGAAAUCAUGUAUAAAAACCUGGCAUGAUAUUUGUUCUAAAUAAGUAUAUUUCCUGGAAAUCUGGAACCAAGUUUAUUUUCAAGAUGAAAAAGGAACUGAAAUCAUGCCCACUUUCCACAUAUAACUGAGCUCUAUAAUUUAAAAACAAACAAAAACCUAUCCAACUACCAUAGAACCUGGAUAUAAGCAUUUUCCACAUUUACCUUUUUAACCCCAAUGUAUCCAGUAAGUACACACAGAUAGGCAGGUUGAAUAUAAAUUAUUUUUUCAAUGAUUUCUAAAGGGAAAGCUUUCAAAAGAUUCCUAAUGUACUUCACCAAUAUAAAAGUAUCUUUUGUUAAUAUGUAAGGUAAACAUACAGUAACUGAGGCUUGUCAUUAAAAUAAAAAAGAAAUGAUCUUCUAACAUUUUAUGGAGAAAUACAGACACUUAGUGAAACCUCACUAAAAAAAAGACUCUUGUUUUGAUAUAUUUAAUGCCUAAUUCCCAAGUAGAAGUAUUGCUGCUAUCUAAAUAAAUCUUGAGUAUUUUAGAUAAGUUGUAAAAUUAUGUGCUGAGUGGUUUUUGUUUCUUGUUUCUAAUGAAUCAGUAAUUUUGACCUUCGUUCCAUAUGCCUCUUUAAUUUAUGGUGAAUAAAGUAAUUCUGAUUUUUCAAAAAUUAAUACAUAUUCUCAAGCCACCAAGUUUCCAAAUUAUGAUAUUUCCAAUGGCAAAUGAAAUAACAUGCUGUCCAUGCAGUUAGUGAUUUGAGGCAAUUUGAACAUCAUGAUAAGAGAGGGGGGGAAUUACAAGCAGUGUUAUAAUUAAAGGUCUGUUGAUUCCUCAGUUUAAAUGCCAUUGUUGAAAGAUUUUUCACUCAGAUGUCAAAGUCUGUGGCCAGCCAAAACUUGGCAUGCUAGAACUCAGCCCAGGGAAACAUUGUGUUCUACAAAUUUAAAAACCAAAAUCUGUUAAGAACAGAAAUGUUGCACUUGGGCUGAUUUCUCAUGAAUCAGAACCAGAACAUGGCCAAAUACCACCUUCUUUAUGAAAGGAGGUAGUGCAGGUGGAUGCUAAUGAGAAAUAUUUGUUCAGAUGGAAAAUAAAGGGAAAUUGUCAUUAGAUGUCAAUAUACAGUACACUGGGUUAAAGAUCUAUAUCAUUAAACAUGUUCCCUUGAAAACUUCAAAACAUUUUAGAAGGCUUUUCUAGUUAAUUCUUUUGGGGUGUUAAAUGAGGAGAAGUAUUUUCCCAUUUUCUAAGAUUCAUGCAUGAGGUUCAGUUUCUCCAUAUCCCUUGUUACUAGGAAAACUUGAAGUGCUUUGUUAACUCGCAGUUUAGGAAUAUAUUCCCAACUACUGUGUCUCCCUUUAAUUUGAAGGCUACAAACUAGUGACCUCUGAUCUGCACCUAGAUAGCUGGUAGAAUAUUUUAAAUCUAUUUUUUGUCUGUACUACAGUAUUUUAAAAUAGUUUAAGCCAGCUUUUAAAGACAAAGAGAUUACACACAAAGAAAUCCAGAUUUUUCUGGCUUCUCUUGAAAAAAUUGGAGAUCUGGCAACAUUAGACCUGCAUCCCCACAUGGCACCAGUAUUGGAACUGAGUAGCAGCUGCUCCCUUUAGACAAGCCAUGUUCUCUCCAGUUUGACAACAUCCCUGUUGUCCCAUGUUUCAUGCCACACCCACUUUAUCAUUUACUCUACCACCUUGGCUCCUGGAAGUAUUUGAUUUUUUUCAUUGGUUAUGUUAGUUCUGUUAAGUUUCUUUGCUUUCCUAUUAUUAAGUGUUAAGGCUUACAAAAGUUUCUUUCCAACAAAUACUAGCAUUACAAAGGCUACUUUAAAUUAUACUAACAAAAACAUUAUUGAAAAGUAUAAAAAUCAGAAUGUAACCCAAACAGGAGAUUGCUUAAAUACAUCCAUAGAAUGAAAUAGUGUGCAGGAUUUAAAAAUGUGUGUCUUAAACAAAUGCAGGCUGUAAAACAAUGUAUACAGCAAGAUUUCUAUUUUUAGGAGGAAAAUAUUAGUAUAAAAAAGCUAAUGUGUCCAGACUGGAGGGGUUGAAGGGAGGGCUGGGCAAGGUUGAAAAAUAAGAACCAAGAGAGACUAUGUAAAGGUGCAAAUUUCCAAUGAUGAAUGUCAUUAUAUUGUAUACCUAAAAUGUACCAAUGAUUAGAAUGAAUAAUCGAUAAUGCAAAAUAGGAAUAAAAGGUCCAAAGGGGUAGGGGUAGUGGGAAGGGCAGGGGAAAGGAAAGAAGGGAAAGGAAAAAAUGAUGAGAAAUGAAAAAAAU